CCGGGAACAACGGAGUUCCUGGAAACGGGUUUCCUGUAUUUGGAGUAGUUCCGUUAGACGUCGGAGGAGUUGUUCCCGUUGGUGGUGUUGUCGAUGGAGGUGACCUUGUAGAAGAGCUGUUACAAAAAAAAAAAAAAGUAAACUUCAAAAUAUUAAUACGAAUGAGACAGCUUUAAGUUAAUGGAAGAAGUGAUCAUACAUACCUAGGACUUGAAGGAUAGAUGCAGCCAGUAGCCAAAUCUGCACACAAACAAAAAGACAUCAUCAUGAUCAUGAAUUUUUCUCAACAUAAGCCGUAGACUUUUAGGGGUAGUGGACUUUACUGGAAGGUGGGUUUUGAUUGGUAGUGGCAGUGCCGGAGAAAUCGCAGCUUCCAGUGACUUGAGCUGCGUUCUGGAAGUAGCUGUUAACAGCCCAAUCACAGUGGCUUUUGAUGGUGUUAGGUUGAUAACAAGGACCCUUGUCAUGGAUUGGAUUACAAUCAGCUAAGGUUCCACAUGCAUAGUCUAUUGCUGUUUGAAGCUCUUUGUCUCCUAUCCCAUCUUUGCAGACACAGUAAAUUGCACCUAGAGGGAGAGAGACAUAGCUUUAGAUUGAAAUCUAUGAUUUAAAAGAUCAUUGCUUCACAGAAAGCUUUGAUUAAGGAAACAUGAAUAUAAGAACUAAACCAAAAAAAAAAAAGAAGAAGAAGAAAGCUUUACUUGAAGAUUUGGUAAAGGCCAAGAGAAGAAGCAAAAGACCCAGAAGCACUUCCAUGAUGACUAGUAGUAAUUAAGAUCGCUGGUUAGGAGAAGCACAAAAUAUACUUUGACCUUAGGAGGAAGAACUUAAGAUGAUGGCUUUAGAAAGAGAGGGUGAGAGAAGAUGUACACAGAACUUAAGAGAGUAUUAGAAAAUGAAAGGUGGUUUAAUAAAAAUAAUUGGGACAAAAAAAGACUUGUAUAUAAGUCAGUGUUUUGGUUCUACAUGUUUUUAAUAAACAUUUUAUUUUUGUUUUAUUGAAAUGAUUAUAAUAGGUUGAUUCAUAACGUAUUGAAAAAGAAAGAGUUGAAAACUGACAUGUAUUGACGAACUACGUAUAGAAGAUCAUAUAUUCUUCAUAUGCGUGGCAAUAUGUAGAAUAAAAAAAGUUUCUUCCUAAAUUGUCAAUAUCAUACUACUACGUGCUAUUGUUCAUUUUAAAAUUCUUCGAUUGUGAAUUUUCUUGGAUACGAGUCACAAACUUUUUGAGCAAACUAAAACAGUUUUUGAAAUUUUGCAUGUUGUGACCUGUAACAUAUUCUGAUGAAACGUCUCUAAAUUUAAUAGUAGUACUCUUUUUUCUUUUGAAGGGUGGUAUACUUCUCGUGUGUCUGUGUGUACCUCAAUAAAACGGUAAUUGAUAAGUUUGAACACAAGUUUGUUUGUUAAUGGUUGGAGUUUUAAUUUUAAGAAUGGUUUCGACUAUUUAUUCAUCAUCAUCUUACAUAUGUUAUGCCAAUGUUCCAACUUUAAGCAUACAGUAUAUACGUGAGAGUGUAUAUUAUUUUUUCUAUAUUAAUUCCUUUCCCAGAUGAAAAUUGUGUUUUAGACACUUUAGAGUGGUUCAGGCGUUCAGCGUGGUGGGAUCUAUGAGUAACAUUAUGUAGAUGAUACAGUUCACAUUGAACAUCAUGGGGAUGUAGCUCAAAUGGUAGAGCGCUCGCUUUGCAUGCGAGAGGCACGGGGUUCGAUCCCCCGCAUCUCCAAAUUCUCUUACAUAAAGAUUUUUGAACAUUUUUUUUGUUUGUGGGCUAGAGACAAUAAAACAGCUACAUAGAGAACAAGGGAGGCAGAAAUGAAAAAAGCAGCGGACAAAAAAUGGAAGCAGAACCUAGUCUCUUCAUGCAUGCAACGUUUGACCAUAAGAAAAAGUCAUUCAGGCCACCAAGUGAAUCAUAGCUGUAAUAGAAAUCACAACCGAGACUUCUUAUACCAUCCUCAAUGCAAGCAUCUUAGGGAGUAUCUUAUCCUAAGAUUUGCAAAGAGAAUACCUUAUAUAAGAUUCUCUCUUUGCAAAUCUUAGGGUAAGAUACCCCCUAAUAUGCUUGCAUUGAGGAUGGUCUUAGUAGUACCUUGCAGCAUAUUUCAUGGUACAAGCUGGCAUGGUUCAAGCUUGGCAAUGUUGAUCAAAUGGACUGAGUCAUGGAAAAUUAAGAAAUAAAAUCGUUUGGUAUGAGGAACUUGUUUUGAUAUGAGAUUUGUGGAGGAGGAUAGGAUAUUGUGCAUAAAGAAAACAGAGUAUCAACUUUGAGUGAUGCAACUUUGAGUAUCAACAGAGGACCAGCUUUAUUUUUUUUAACUAUAUAUAACUAAUACGAACCAUGAGUGAAAUGAAGCAUCAGGUAUUACAUAUAUAUGGGGGACAAAGAUGUCUCUGCGUAUAUAAUAACCAAGUCUUUUAAGUCAUAAUUCAUAAAAGCAUCGCAAGUUUGGAGUUACAAAACAUUGAAACUGCCGACUUAGGUGGUGGAUUUGGCUUUUUGCGCCUCCUUCUAAACAAUUUGGGGAUGCCGCCGCAAACCCUAGCUCAAUAUACAUAUACAUAUACAUAUACUAUAUAAAUCAAAGAGCUUGCAUUGUAUCACAAGGUAAAAACACCAAAGAGCUUGUAUAUAUAUGUAUAUAGUGUUCUACUACUCCAUAGUCUUCUUCUUUAUAGAGCUUUCUUAGGUAAAGAACGACCUAGAGUAACCCAUGAAACUAUUGAGAGGUUUUAAUUUGAUACCAGGAAAGCAAGAAUCAAUAAAUAAUAAAACAUUGUUAUGUUUAGACUUUAGACUUCAGGUUUUGAUUUGUUAAAAAUGGGAUGUUUGCUAUAUAGUUAAUACACAAGCUUAGUUAACAAAUGGGGAUGUAGCUCAAAUGGUAGAGCGCUCGCUUUGCAUGCGAGAGGCACGGGGUUCGAUCCCCCGCAUCUCCAUAAUAUUCAGCUUUUUUCUUUUUCUUUUUUUUAAAUAAAAUAUAUUACCACACAAUUAGAGGAUCCUACAGAAAAGUAAUUACGAAACGAGGAAAAUAAAACUGAAAACAAAUACAUAUCUGAGAUGAAGGACUAACAAAAAUAUAUGGAAGAAAAAAUAUAAAACUGCAAUUCUGUUUGCAAAACAGAAAAAUAAAAGAAAAAAAAUAUGUAAAGAAUGUUUGUAAUCUGAUAAAAUCUUCCACUGGUAAGAAAAUCCCAGUCUCCAUUUCCAUCUUCUUGAUUUCUCUCCAGAAUUUGCAAGCAACAUUUGUAUCAGUUCAGCAAUGUGUAACUCUGAUUCAUUCUAAUGAGAGAAGAGAACUCAGUCACUAUGUAUAAAAGAUUAUGACAUUUGUGAGUUCUUGAAUUCAAAGCUCAGAGAACUGUUGAAAGAAUAGAGAGAGAGAGAGCACGAAAGAGAGAGAUUACCUAUGAAAAAUAUACUGUACUUGUAGUGUCGAUGGUGUAGAGAAGCAAAUUUUUUGACAGUUUGCUGAUUUUGCUUCUUUUCUUUAGUUACUUUUUCAGGAAUGGUUUUUGACAAACUAGGAGCCGUUGGUCACUACCGUCUUGAAUAUCAAUGACCCGUGCUUCCCAACGUACACGAGCAGCUAGUGUACGCGCCAUCUCUAUCACUCCAAGCUUAUCGCUUAGCACGACCCAUCCCUAUCAAUCAAUCAGGAUAUACUAAGUUUAUCUCAGCUUAUGAUAAGUUUCUAGUUAGGAUCAUAUGAGAUAUUUUGGGAGUGUAGAAAAGAACCUCAGGGCGGAGAAUCCUGUCCAUUUCCAAGAAUAAGUCCAUUAGGCUGCAUCGUUCUGAGCUAAGAUGUGUAAGAAGUUCAUUGGCAUGAAGCAUGUCAUAAGUUCGCGGAUAUGUAGGGAAUGGUUCACACCUGCACAGCAUUAAAUGGCCAAGAAACAAAUGUUAUAAGCGAAAAGGAGGAUAUAAGCAAAACAAAACAUUCUCGAGUCAUCUAAAGAGACCUAAGGGAGAUAAAUGUGAUUAACAACAUGAAAUCUAAGAAAACACACUCACCAGUCAUGUAGAACGCCAGCAAAACCUCGAUCAAGUAUAAUAGGAAGAGUAUUACGUGCUUUGACUGGGACGACAUUCAUCACCCAAACUGAUUUCCCUUGGUUAAGGAAGGCAUGAUUCAGAUUCCCAUAACGAGCAUUCAUGUCCAUGGCAUUGCGUAUCAUAUAAAAAGGAGGGACAGGAUCUUCAUCACCAGGUCUUUUGGGAUGGUCUGAGAAAAUCAAAGGUGUAAGCAAGGACCAAUAGUUUUUAAGGGCUGAUCUCCAUACUUGUAUGUCCUCAUCGAAUUCUUCAGGUUUAAUACCUGUUGAAAGAAAUUUAUCACAGAAGAACAUUAACCGCCAGAAACUAAUGAGCAAUGAAAACAGAGUGACUAGUUCCGACGAAAUCAACAGUUACCAUGAAUUUCAAGCUCAAACAAACUAGUUCCGGAAGCUUUAGACCUAUUCUGAAUAGGAAUCCAGCGUUUACUCUUGGUUCCACUUAUACAUGGAACAAGAGGUUGGUAAUACGGAACACCAUUAUCAUCUUUGCAAAGAGGUAUAGAAGCUUGCGAGCUACAACAAGCAAGAAAAAGAAAGAACAACAUCAGUGUGACUGUGAGUGAAGAAACCAAACUUCAGGACUCUGUUCUCAUACUCACCGAGAUGAAUAGCAAUUUGGAUCUGCUGUUUUCUGCCAAAGAAACGUCUCAUCUUGCUGACCUGAGAGACUCCAGCAGAUUUUCUUAGAUAACUCAUCCACACGUGUUGAGAUACUUGUUUUCUUAGCAUCAGGAGAAUUUCCAUGUGCUUUGCUUGUAGGAGAAGUUAAAACAAAAUAACCCCCAGGCUUGAGGAUACGAUCCACUUCCAAGAGUAGCAUUGAAUCUGCUUAAGGUCAAAUAAUUGAAAGCACUGUCACUUUAUAGAAGUUCUAUUACUGUCACUUUAUAGAAGUUCUAUUACUGUCACUUUAUAGAAGUUCCAUUUCAAAGCCUCAAAUUCAUAGACCCAAGAUAAGUGAAAAAUUAUAAACCAUACCAGAUAAAUACCUUUUAUAUCCCAAGUAAUCCCACAUUGAGCACAAUGGACCAUGUCAAAUGAUAAAGCUGGAUAUGGAAGCUGUUUUGAAAAGAAAUUUCCAAUCACUGCAGGAAGGCCUCUCUCUAGAGCUAGCUGGACUUGGCUUCCACUUGCCUCAUACUCUGCUAUACAUAUAGGCAUCACGUUCAAAGACACUAGAUGUGCACCAAAGCUACCAAAUCCGCAACCAAUAUCCAAAACAGUCCGUAUCUGCAAGCAGUGGAAGGCAAUAUAAAGAGUUCUUAUGUGAUAAACAUAACUAACACAAAACGAUCAAUGAUAAGAGGAAAGAAGGCAAAUCAACUUACACCAGCUUGGGGAAACUCGGUAUCGCUUCCUAAUCCAAUCAUCUCAGCAAUUUGAAAAGCGUAAUCUUUAACCCCGUCAAAGAUCAAGCCAUCUUCCGAGUGAAACGUAAUUUGAUUCUCUUCAAGCAGCAUUAGCCUAAUAACAAGCAGUAGAAUAGAUUAAGAUGGCACAACACCAGCUGAAACUGCAUAACAAAAAAAAAUCUUACUAAAGCUUGGUGAUCUCAGAUACCUUUUGGUCAUAGUUCCUGAUGAAAGAAACUGAUCUUUAGUAAUCUUCACAUUCCCACUCCAUACAAUAUCUCUACCAACAGGCCAUCUAAGUGGUAUCUUAUAAUCUCUCGGAGGACGAACUACACAUCUUUCCUCUUCUCUUGCAGACCCACAAUUCCGAUCAGCAAGUAUAGUCUCUGAUACGUUAUAACAAGGAACAUAGUUCUCUCUUUCUUUGCCACAUAAAGGAAACUCUUUUAACCGAUUAACCCCUAAGGAGAAAAACCUUAGAUCUAGAUAAUCAAUAGCUGCUUGCUCUCUAAUCCUCCCAUAGUUACUAAAAAUGUUAUGCGUCACUCGCGUAGUUGAAGUUGGAGAAGGAGAAUCAUCAGAAUUUGGUACUAAAAUGGUAAUGAGAGCAAUAACACCGAGGAUUAAGAAAAGUAAGCCGCUGAUCCGUGGUCUAAGACCAAAAACUGAGGCAAGCUUCAUGGUCCCAGGAUCAAAACAAGAGCUUUAUUGUAAUCAAAUCUACACUAUACAACCACUCUUCCUGUCUCUAUAAGAUUCCUCAUUCCAACUAACAUUUGCCUAAUCAAGCCAUAAGAUUCACCAUUUGAAUCAUGAGGAGAAAUAAUCCAAAUCAGGAAAGAGGCAUCAGUCACUGAACGCCAAAUUCAGAACUAACUCGUAAUUGCCAAUUACGGAAACGAACACCAAACCAACAAAACCUGCAAACCAAACUUUCUCAGAUCAAAAAUCAAAAUUUCCUAAAAAAAGAGAGAAACUUUUUGCCUUUUUGUAUUUUACAAAAAUUUUUUUACUUUUUGUCGACGUAAAAUGUAUUAGUUAUCAUAAGCAAAAGGAGCCAAGAACGAACCUCGUGAGCCCGACGAAAAACUCAAUCUCAUAUUCCUAUAAUGAGAUCUCGAAAAUGACGAAGACGAAUUAGAUGAUUCAGAUCAACAAGGAAAAGCUUGAAACCAAUGAUACGAACGAUCGUAAACGAAAACAAAAAUCAAAAAGGGGUUUUUCAAGAAGAAUGAUUUAGAUUUUGAACAACAAUGGCGUCUCGAAAGGCCGAAGCGAAGCGAAGCUCCAGUGAUAUGAGAGGAGAGGACUGUUAAGCUUUUCUGGUACUGUGUCUCUACCUUUGUCGUUUCGUAUUUUAUAUUAUUUGUAUGAAUACUUUAUAAUAUAAGCUGCAUUAUUAAAGAGCUUUUUAGUUUUUACCAACGAAUGUCUACAAAUAUAAAAGCAUUACCUGAUUAUUUUACAAAGUUAAUGAACUGGAUAAAAUAAUUAAGGAUCUGAUUAGUACGAUAGUAUUGAUGUAGGUUUUUGUUUGUGCUUCUUUUUCAAAUCAAAUCUUGUAUUUAAAUGUUGGGUGUAAAUGAAUAUGUGUACUAGUUUUUUUUUUCUUUUUUGUCAGCAUGUAACGUUUGCCGACAAAAAUAUAAAGUUUAUUAUAUGAUUUAAGAUACACCCAAAAAUGUCAAACGUGUCUUUGUCUUUUGAAUUUUCAGUAUUAGAAAAACAAGAAAAAGAGGGGAUUAAAGAAUUGAAAUAGUUAGAUCUCUCUAAUAACUUCACUUUCUCACUAAGGAAACAUUAUUACAAAUCAAACUACAGCGUUUGACUUGACAAAUAAGUAUCAUAUAUGUAUGCAUUAAAAUAACACAUCAAUUUAUCCCCCCAAAAUUUCAAUGAAGAGCAACAAGGAUGAACCUUGACUGAGUUAAGACGAUAAAAAAACCAAAUCGUAAGGUGUUUUCUACACACAAAUUUCAAGCGUUGUUACCUCCAAACUCUCUGUUCAAGUAGUCCACAAAACGUCUCUUUGCACUUUCUGCAUCAGUUGGUAAUGGUGGCCCGCUUAGACUCGAUUGACCCAUCAGUUUAACAAACGUUCUCCGAAGCCUCCUUAGCUCCGGUAGUCCAAUCGGUCUGCAGAUUUCUAUUGGAGGGAGAUCAUUGCCAAGAGUAACUCUGCUUAUAGCCCCACCAAGUGAUUGUUGUUCCACAAUCGCGUUGAUGAUUUCUUGUGUCGCCCUGUCCAACUCGUAAAGAGAAUUCGCUUCUGAAAAUCUAGCGGCCUGAGUCGCGAUACUUGGUUGGAGAAUUCUCACAUCUUGGGUUUUGGAGUCGACAGUCUUGGUUAGAUAAGUCACAGCCUCUGAAAUCACAGGAGAGGAUUUGCUUAUUCCUUCUCGAGAAGGGUACAGCUCAAACAGAGGAGAAUCCCACCGGUUUCUUCUCUCUGGUUUCUCGAAUCUUCUUACCAGAUCUUCAAAAAUACCAUCGUCAUAUGAAGCUUCACCUUUAUCACUGCGUUCCUUAUUCCAUUGCCUGCAAUGAGCUUCAUCCACAUCGCAAUAAACAACACAAUACCUAAUCCCAGCAGCACGAGCGAUACACCAAAGCUCAUAUCUGUAACCUUUGAUACUGUUCAAGGAAUCUACAAUAACGAUAUCGCCUCUGGAAACUGAUCUAUCAACAUCUGACCUGAGCUUUCCUCUCAGGUUCUUCUCCGCAGGCAUGUUAGCAUAGUUUUGGUUGCGGUCCAGAUGAAACGAAGCCUCAUCGAUGAUCCUAACAUUCUGUUUGGUUUCAGACUCUCCCAGUGUUUCAGCUAAGGUUACUGCAGCUAUUGACUUGCCACUACAAGGUUGCCCACAAAUCACAACUAGCGCCAUUGGAUUUUAUCACACACAAGUUACUGAACGAAGCACACUACCUACAAAAUGGAUUCAAUAUAAAACUUAAGAUACAAGCUUUAUGUUUAUACCAAUCAUCCAAACUAAAGAAUACGCAACGACCCAGAUUCACAUAUAAAAUUCAAAUUCCAGAGAACGGAUUCAAAUCCCCAGAACAAGUUAAAGCAUCAAAAUUUAUCGGUAGAUACUUCCACAAGAACCAAUUUCGACGAAAAGUCAAGCUAAAUGAAAACGUUACCAGAGCAAAAUCGGGAGUGUUGUCGACAGGUUGAAGAAAACAAAGAGUGACGAUGAUAAUGGUCGCGUGAGAAUCUAAUUUGGGGAUUUAGGGCUUAUAAUAAUUUAAUUGGUGCGGUUUGUUAAUAUGAAUACCAAUUUGUGUCGACGUGAAUUAUUUCGUUCCGGUUUAUAAGAUUUAGAUACGAACCGAAUAUGCCAACACAAGUUGCUAGGCACGUUGAUGGUAGUAUACGGCGAGGAUAAUUUAGUAAUUUCGAAUCUCAUAAAGAAUUUAAAUAAAGUACAGCUCAUUCGAUGUUGUCUCGGUAUCCGAAUUAAAUCCGGGUUUCAAAAUCGGGUCUUUCCCCUAAUCGAAAAUAGCACGAAUUUUCAGCCCUAGCCGCGUUCGAAAUAUCCCCCAAUUUGUUUUUUUUUUCUUUUUUCCCUACAAAAUUUUCUUCGAAUUCUUUGCUCAGAUCCCUUCCUUAUUCCAGAUCGAUCUUCAAAUCAAUUGUAAUUUUCUUAUUCCUCUUGAUUUCUUCUUUCAAUCGAUACCUGUUUUGUUAUCAUCGCUUCCUUUUGGUCAAAUCUAGGGUUUGAGUUAGAUCCAGAUCUAAGAACAUCAGAUCUGAUCGAUCUUUUGUUUUAGAUGUUGAUUUCCUUCAAUAGUUUUACCGGAUCUGUUCGUAAUUCCAGUUUCCCCCAAUUUUUAUUAUCCGAUUUGGGGUCUCGUUGAUUUCGAUGUUCUAGGGUUCUUCAGAUCUGUCAAUUGAUUGAGGAAUUUUGUUUGGUUUCCUGAUAAUUAACCGAUUCUUUGAUUUUCGAUUCUUGAUUUGGGAUUUAAUCCGUGAAUUGAAAUCUAGGGUUAGGUUUUCUAACGAAUUUGGGGUUUUUCUUUUUAAAAAAAAAAAUUUAUAAUGGGGUUAAUUUUUUUAAUACUCUAAUUAAAUUAUUUUACCGGUUAAAUAGAGUUAGAGUUGUCACUUGUCAGUGUAAGUGGAUAACCUUGAGGCCAAGUAACUAAGUGGCUUUGGUUCUAAUUUUACAGGCCAAAAAAAAUAUGGGUUUCAAGCGCACUUUUGACGCUGAGGAUGUGCAAGAGCUGAAUGUCAAGCAUGCAAGACAGAUUAGUUAUUGCAAUAAGCUGGCCAAACUAGAUGAAGGAGUUUCAUAUCGUGUUUCACUGGAGAAGUCAGGUUUCGUAGGUAAUAAUAAUAUGCAUCUUGCAGAGUGUGAGCAUGAUAAACCUAAGCAGCUGGCUUGAUUAUUAUUUGUCUAAUUGUUAGCAGGAGAUGAUAUAAGUGAUCUAUAUGGGUAUAAAUGUGAGGAGAAGGGCUUUGAGAUCAAUGCGCCUUUCUCUUGGAUCACAACCGGUUUGUGCGAGGAGGAUACUCAGUCUGGAGCGACGACUCAGUCUACCCUUUCUCAUGAAUCUCCUGAGUCAGAUAUACCUUGGAGACCAGUUUGCUCAGAAGAAGAUGCUUAUUGGUGUCCGAGUUCUCCUAGAAAACCAGUACCAGUUGGGGCGGAUUACCAGGCUGAUAUUCCUGAAUGUGUCAAGGAAGAGGCAAGUGAUCACUCCGGUCAGGCUAUUGGUUAUGUUGGAAAACAAGUGACGGGGAAGUGCGUAAUUCCAAUGCCUGACAGUGAAACCGAGAUUUGCGAUAUUGGUAAAGGAAGAAAGGAAUGCAUGUGCCUGGACAAAGGUUCCAUCAGAUGUGUGCAGCAGCAUAUCAUGGAAAACAGGGAAGCCUUGUUUGAAACUAUUGGAUACGACAGAUGUCUGAAUAUAGGUCUUUGUGAAAUGGGGGAGGAAGUUGCCGGUAAACUAACUGAAGAUGAGGAAGAUCUGUUUCACGAGGUUGUUUACUCCAAUCCAGUUUCACUUGACCGGGAUUUCUGGAAACACCUUAAGUCUGCGUUUCCGUCAAGAAGCAUGAAGGAAAUUGUGAGCUAUUAUUUCAAUGUCUUUAUCCUGCGAAGACGAGCUAUCCAGAAUCGUUCGAAAAGGCUGGAUGUUGAUAGUGAUGAUGACGAGUGGCACGUAGAGUAUGACAACACCUUUUAUGGUGCUGAAACUCCAUCAGAUGAUAAAGCCGAAAAAAGCCUCUCAAGGGAUGAAGAAGAAGAAGAAGAGGUUAAUGUUAAUGAAGAUUCGAGCAUGUCCAAUGCAAUCUACUCCCGAUGUCAAGUUAGAAACAGAGAAGAAUCCAGCAUUGGUAACUACUGGCGCCACUGCAAUGAUCUUGUGGAUAACUCAUAUUCAUUUGAUCCUUGUGAUUCGAUACUACCAGAUCAUUGUUGGACUAAGAGCAUUGAUCUGCUUCCAACUUCAAACAUCAUCGACGAGAUCUUUGGUCAAGACCCAUGGGAUGAUUUUUCCAGAGGGAAGUAAAUGAAGAACGAUCUCCAUUCUCCAUUCUUACUCUGCUCUCAAGUUCUGAAUCUUGUGUAUGUAAAAUGCAUUAUUUAAGGAAAUCUCAAGUUGGAAGUUUUCAGUGAGUCCUGUAUAGUUUAUGGCCCUGGAAGCUCUGUGUUUUUGAUACUUUUAGGUUUUUUUUUUUAUUACCUUUGCAAAUCAGAAUUAGAUUUCGUUGUAAGAAGAAGAAAAAAUCUUCAAACUGUUUAAUAAACUAACAUUUUGUUCAUAUUUUUAACACAUAUCUCACUUCCAAUACCUACAAUUUCAGUAAUUAACUUCUCCAGAUUUUUCUUAUUUUUCUCUCUUUGUUUUCGGUAGACGUUUCCUCUAUUUCCUUGUUAACGUCUUGAACAUAUUAGACACAUAACAUAAGCCUUGUCUCUGGAAACAGAGUGUUCGAUUAUUACAGACUUAACUGUCCCAAAAUAGGGAGCAGCAGAGGACGUGACAUGGCGGUGGAUGAAUUCUCUUUCUCCAACGCAUCUCCUUUCAUCUCUAAAUCCCUUCAACGGUACACAAACAGAGAGAGAAUCAAAAACGAUUCUUUUGAUCCCUUCUUAAAUUACAUUUUUGGAUUGCCAUUUUCCUUUCCCUCUACUCUGCAUUUUUCUUAAUCAGAAUAUUUCAAGAGAUUUCACAGGUAAUCCAUUAGAUUCUCUAUCUCUUCUUGAUUUGUAAUUUUCAAUCUUUUAACAUUUUCAUAACAAGUUGUUGAUAAUCUUUGAUCAAUCAUCGUCUCAUUGUUAAAUAGAUGUUUGGUUUUUUCAAAUCUCCGGGUAACAAUAAGCUUCCCAAUGAAUCGUCAAACAACAAAGGCGGAACAAUCACUGCAGGAAGAAGGACUUCUUCAGAACCAAUCCUUAUAACGCCUGAUUUCGACGAUGACGACAAAUACAAGAACGGUUUCCGCGAUUCCGGUGGUCUGCAGAGCCAAACGACACAAGAGUUGGAGAACUAUGCUGUUUAUAAAGCCGAAGAAACAACCAAAGGUGUUAACAAUUGUCUUAAAAUCGCUGAAGAUAUAAGAUCGGAUGCUACAAGAACGCUCGAAAUGUUGCAUGAGCAAGGUGAACAGAUCAACAGGACUCAUGUUAUGGCUGUUGAUAUGGAUAAAGAUCUCAGUCGGGUAAAGCUUUUCUUUUCCUUCUUUCUUUCUUUCUUUGAUCCCCAAAACAGUAUGGUGAAAUAUUAUAUGUUCUCUGUAAUCUGUGUUUUAUGGGGGUGUUGAUAAAAAACUGUUAUGUUAAAUCAGGGAGAGAAGCUUCUGAACAACUUAGGAGGAAUGUUUUCAAAGCCAUGGAAACCAAAGAAGACUAAAAACAUCUCAGGACCUAUGAUCACUCCAGGUUUUUAUAUACUUAAAACCAGAAUCUUUAAUGUUUUGACGCGUCCAAGCUCUUAGAUUCUUGAUUGGAUAAAAUUCUGUGUAUGAUGAUUUUUUGUUUUUCAGUUUGAAUUAUUAUAGAAGAAUCGUUCCAUACCUCGUUGACAUCUCAUAUCAUGUCAAUCCUUAAUGUUUUCACGCAUUAGGACUCUUAAUUCUUGAUCAUAGGAUGAUCAUGUUUGUUCUAAUGCUGUUUGCAGUUUGAAGAUAAGAAGAGAAAACCAAAUCUUUAACUUGUGAAUAACUCAUAUCAUCUCAAAUAUUUAUUGAUUGGAUUGGAUUUGAUUAUUCAUGUGGUAUGGUGGUCCUGUUUAAUAUAGUUAUUGAACUUUUUAGAUAAACCGUCCAAGAAGGGUGAGAAUCACAAGGAAGAGCGAGAGAAACUCGGUUUGGGUGCGAAAGGACGAUCGAGCAGCCAACCGCCAGCACAACAACCAACACAGGCACUGCAGAAAGUUGAGGUUUGUGUUCUUUUUUACAAAUUCUGCAGAAAUCUUGAAUCUUAGAAUGAAGGAAAGAUGUUGAAAAAUGUACUGUUUAAUGCAGCAAGAGAAGGCAAAACAAGACGAUGGACUUUCAGAUUUGAGUGACAUUUUGGGUGACCUUAAGAGCAUGGCCGUUGAUAUGGGAUCAGAGAUCGACAAGUCAGAUAACACAGAAUACAUUACAUAUUCAUGCAUUUAUAUAAGCAUUAAUUUGCAUGUAGAUUACUCAUCAUAUUAUGGGGAAAUUGCAGGCAAAACAAGGCUCUUGAUCAUCUCGGCGACGAUGUUGAUGAGCUUAACUCUCGUGUUAAAGGAGCUAAUCAACGAGCACGUCAUUUGCUUUCCAAAUAAGCAACCACCAGCCUUCCACAAAUAUUGCUCUUCUUAUUUGUAUAUUAUACUUAUCUUAUCUUUUUUUACUUUCCUACAGUUGAGUUUUUCUUCUUUUUCUUUGUUCAUUCUUUGCUAUAAAGUUGUCAAAUAACAACACAUUUGAUACAAUUGUUUUUUAAAACAUUACUAAGUUUCAUUUUGUUUCAAAUAUGCUUUAACCGAACAGAAAGUCUAGUUUUGGUAUAAUCAGCAUUUCGAUGUUCAACUGAUUAGCCUCUGCAAUUCUAAAGUGUUAUAUAUAUAUACUCAAAACAGUACUAAUUAGUAAUUACAACAAAAUCCCUUCGGUCUGUAACAUCGUAGUGAGUAAGUGACACAAGCUCUUCAAAGAAUAAGCACAAGAAGACUAGUGUAUUAUUAGAGUGUACAAAACUUAUGUUCUCUUCCCAACAAUUGUAGAGAAACAUGGUUCUCACCGUGGUAAAAAAGAGAUCCUAUACAAAUCAUGCCCCUAAAUAGGCUCAGUUCAAUAUUAUGUCUCCUCGUUCUUGACUGGGAUCCAACGGUUAUUAGACGAUUUCUUUCCCCGGGUGAAAAACCCGAUAAUGAACCCCAAAAACACGCCCACAAACAUCAAGCCUGCUCCUUUCACAUACCAUAAAGCAUUAGAGUCGGAUUUUCCCAUCAGUGUAGCGGAAGCGGGAACGGUUUUAAGACUUGGGAUUUUAGUACUCUCUUUACUCCCACUGAUUACUUCCCCAGAAGCUAACAUCUCAACAGUAUCAUGAACUUCGCCAUCAUGGUUACCCACAAAUGAUACAGUGAGCUUUUCUUUGUUCGCAACUAACCGAGUGUAUCCAAACUCACCUGUACGAUACAUUGAUUGUUCAGGCUGAGGGAAUAUAGGAACAUCUGGAUGGUUUGGUCUCGGCUGCCAAAUUGGUUGCCAAUCUUGACCAGCCAUACCGAUAACAAGAUGAACCGGGUUUCCUGGCCACUGUUUGCCGCAAGUGUUGUUGCUUAUCGGACAAAACCUUUCGUAUCUAUGAACAUGCCCCCAUAGAGCAAGUGUGACAUUGUUGUUCACAAACAGCGGUUCCAAAUGCUCAACCAUCUUUUGCCUAAUCAUAGUGUCUCUAACCUCGUUGCUCGUAGUGUACAUCGGUCUGUGUCCUUGCACAACAACAAACGGCGUUUUCACCCUGUUUACAGACUCUAGAUCUUGCUUUAUGAAUUCGUAUUGACUGCCACCUUUAAGAAAAUUCGUCUCUGUGGAAAUAUAGAGGAAAUGAACCGAUCCCAUAUCAUAAGAAUAAUAUAGAUUCCUUGUCGGAGGAGCUUUUGUUCCCGUGGAUUCUGAAGAAUUCCCAGGCAUAUUGAACUUCAAACUAUACGGCACACCACAUUCGCCACCACCAUCAGUUCCAUAAAUCGUAGCUGCCCAAUCAGGUUUCCAAGGCUGAGUAGGGAAAUCAUACUCAUGAUUACCAAUGCAAACAUGGUAAGCAACUUUGGAGGCAAUAGGCUCAACCUGAGCAAAGAACUCAUCCCAUACCCACGAGUAACCACGAGCAUAACUUAUAUCUCCAAUGUGUGAAAUAAGAGCUGGCUUGUCACCAAGAGCUUCAAUGUCACGGAGGAUCCACUUCACUGUCGAUAUACUCUCAUCCUGUGUGCGGAUAAAUGUCGUGUAAGGCGUAGCACAACCCAUAUCUCCAAACAUGAAAGCUACGGUUUCUUCUGAGUAUACAUCUCGAGCAAUAAAGCUACGGAUCUCACUCCAUCCCUUAGAAUCACUCCCAACCUAAUUCAUAGAAGGAUAAAUCCAUUAAUCAAUCCUGUAAGCAAAUGUUCUUUCUUCCAAAUCUAUCACAAAGAGAUAACCCGUAUUCUCAAAUAAAGAAACUCAUGCAUAAGCUUCAAAAUCGAAUUGAUUUUAAGAGAACAUUAGAUUCGGAUAUGUUCAUACCUGAUAAUAGUACCUAACGCCAUUAUUCAAAUUCUUCAUAACGGUAUCAAAAAUCCAACCAGGAUCUCUCCACCCGAUAGUCGAAUUCGCCGGCGAAUCACACAUGUGCUCUCUCUCGUACCUCAUCCCACGAGCCGCCGCAGAAUUGCCUAACAAAUCCUUCGCUUCUCCGUAUCUCACGAAGCGUUCUUCUCCAUCUCCAGCUACAAACAUAACACGCAUAGUGUUAACCACAUUCGUGAACGACAAAUGGAUCUGCUCCGGCAUGCCAACGCCGGAUCCGAAGCUCAGCUGUUCCGAUUCAGCUAGAAGAUGUUUAGUUCCCGGUAAAGGAUUCUGAUCAUGAUCCUUGUGUUUCGUAUCGAUCUCUGAUUCGCUCCACCGGAAGAUCCGGAACGUGUAAUUUGAUCGGAGAUUGGUUAAAGGAAGAGAGAUCGAACCGAAUCCAGAUUUCCAAGUGGAAGAUUCAUUGAGAAACUUGUAGCCAAUAAAGUGAUCAUUAGGAGACUCCGGCGGUGAAAAGAGGCCUAACCAAUCGAGAUCUGACGGAGAAUCGACGCCGGACCAUUGGAUCACGACGGUAUCACCAGAUCGAUUCAGAGCUUUGGGGGAAAUGGAAACCGCAGCUUUGGAAUAAGCAGGGGAAACGAAGACAGAGACGGAAAGGAGAAGGAAGAAAGAGAAAUUUGCGAUCAUGGCGACGGAGUAACGCAAGAAUAAUUAAUUGUUGCCGGAGCUGAACGCCGGAGAUGAAAGAUAUAUAAAAGGUGCUCCAAAUACGACAACGUUUUAGCGUUUACUGUGACUGGUGGUGGUGGUUAGCUAUUUUUAAUUUUAAAACCAAUAUUGAUCUAUGACGUAUCACCUUCUUAAAGAUGGGUCUAUCAAAGCCCAAUAAUAUGGGCCUUAUUCGGCCUAUAUAAAGAUAUCAAUUAAUAAGAUAAAAAAUACAAUAGAGGAGUUUGAACUGUUUUUAUUCGUGCCGGAUUAGUUUAGUUUCCACUGAGAGGGGAGGAGCUUGUUGCUUUCCAUGGCGAUGAUAAAUAAUACCUUCUUCUUUCUCCCACACCAUUUCCACUUUGCCCAGUUUACAAAAUUGAUUCUUUUCUACUCUUCUUCUUAAACCCACGAAGAAUUCAUGGUUUCGUAAGCUCUUCGGAAAGCAAAAUCGAUGGCUCUGCAUUUGAGUUUGAGCUUGUCUCUGAUCUUCCGGAUUUGCGCUCUUUUGUUGCUGAUCAAUGUCUCAUUCUCUAAAACACUUAAACGAGACGGUAAGCUCUCUUGAUUUGGUGGUGUUCCAGAAUUGUGAUUUUUCGCCGGAUUUGGUUUUCUGACUUUUUAUUGUUUUGGUAGUGAAAGCUUUGAAUGAGAUAAAGAGGUUAGUUGGGUGGAGAGUGGUGUACUCUUGGGUUGGAGAUGAUCCUUGCGGCGAUAAACAUUUGCCUCCGUGGUCUGGAGUCACUUGUUCCAAAGUUGACAAUUACCGUGUCGUCGUCAAGCUGUAAUUUUUUGACUCACCAUCUUUGAAAGCUUGAGGUUUUUGCAUUGUUUUCGCUUAAAAUGGUUUGUUUUCUUUUCUGCAGAGAAGUGUAUUCAAUGUCGAUAGUGGGGAAUCUCCCAACGGCUGUAACGAGGCUCUUAGAUCUCACUGUUCUGUAAGUUUCACUGACUUGUAAUCUUGUUGAGUUCUGAUGCUACUCAUUUUCUGUUGAGUUGAAAACAAAACCAUUGCCAAGGGUCUUGAUUGUUUAAAGGAAUUGGAUUUGUGAAUGUUUCAGAGAUCUGCACAACAACAAAUUGACAGGACCUAUUCCUCCAGAAAUUGGGCGCCUUAAGCGUCUUAAGACACUGUAAUGUCCCUUCACAGUAUUUUUCUUGGAUCCAUGAUUAUUAUCUAAAUAUGUUAAGGGGUGUGUCUGAGUUUGGCUGCUUGCUUUGUUUUGAUAUUGUUAGGGUGUAUUGUAAACAGGAAUUUGAGGUGGAAUAAACUUCAACAUGCCCUGCCUCCUGAAAUUGGUGGACUGAAGAGUCUUACAUAUCUGUGAGUAAUCCUAGCUCAUGUCAGGGAUGAUUGAAGGGGUUUUCUUUGAGCUCUGUAAAAUACUCUCACUAUUGCAGGUACUUGAGCUUUAACAAUUUCAAAGGAGAAAUCCCCAAAGAGCUUUCAAACCUCCAUGAGCUCCAAGACCUGCAUUUUCAGGAGAAUCAUUUUACUGGGCGGAUCCCUGCGGAGUUGGGAUCGUUACAAAAACUUCGCCACUUGUAAUCUCUGACAUUUCAAGGCUCUUUCCUGUAAACCACCCAACAGAAUUCAGAUAUAUUUAGUAUCUUUGUCAUGUUCUGUAGGGAUGUUGGCAGCAAUAACUUAGUGGGGAGUAUAAGCGAUCUUUUAAGCAUAGAAGGAUGUUUUCCAGCUCUUAGAAACCUGUAAGUGAAUUUGAGAGUUAGCCAUCAGAAAUAAUAUAUGGUUCCUGAGUUCACUUUUUGCUGUAGGUUUUUAAACAAUAAUUACUUCACUGGUGGAAUCCCAAACAAGCUUGCAAAUCUAACAAACCUGGAGAUGUUGUGAGUAUCUUAUCACAUCUUUUGAUUUAUCAACGCCAUUUACAUAUUUUAUCUCUCCCUAUCUCAUCCUUUUUAAGUUCAGGUACUUAUCUUACAACAAAAUGACUGGAGCAAUACCUUCUGCACUAGCCAAUAUACCAGGACUAACUUACUUGUAGGCCUCUCUCCUCUACUAAAUACAUAACUAAAAAUCGAUUUGAAAGACCCAUGUGCCAUGCUACAUCCUUAGAGCAUGUUUUGAAUUAACUUCAGGCACUUGGACCACAAUCUAUUUAGUGGAAGCAUCCCUGAAGCCUUCUACAAGCAUCCAAACCUAAAAGAUAUGUACGUCCAUAACCUCUCUAAGGUCCCUUUGUAAAAGAAAAUAUAUAUCAGUAUAGCACCCAUAUUAGAACUUAAUUCUUGGCCGAUGUAUGUGGCAGGUACAUAGAAGGGAACGCAUUCAAAACAGAUGUUAAGGCUAUUGGUGCACAUAAGGUCCUCAAACUUUCUAAUAUAGAUAUCCUUGUUUAGUUAUGCAUGUUACAAGUCUGUUUCAAUUCAGAUAGUAUUUCGCAGUGUAAUAUGGUUCUUAUGAUUCAUUUUCUAUGCUACAGCAAUAAUAUUGUACUUGAUGUGUUUUAUGAAUGUAAAGAUUCCUUAUCCAUAUAUGAAAAUUGAAUAAAGAGCAAUCUGGUUUGUUCUUUUCACUGUCCUUUCGAGAAAGCAAAGAACCAAAAAGCUGAACAGGGAAAAGAAAGAAAAAGUGUUCCUAACUUUACCUGCACACCUUUAUGAUCCAAAUAUGAAACUUGGAUGCAAAGCAAUAAUCUCAAAAACCCUUCAAAAACCAAAACCCUCAAACACAUCUAACCCAAACCUUCUCAACUCCUCCCACCAUAUUUUAUUUUGAAAAUGGAUACCUUGAUCAAGCAGACAAGGUAAGUCACUAAAUCUCCAGAUUCAUAUUUGCUAUUCACCAACACAUACAUAUAGAUAAACAUAUGUUGAUGUAAAAUGUUGACAUCUUUGUCUUAGGAGGAGGCAUCCAGCUUCCCAGGAAAGACAUAGAGAGAUUGGUAGCUCCAAUAGAGAGAAAAAAGUUCCAGCAAGGAAGUCUGUUUCAUUCAAAGAAGGUACCACAUAAUUCUACUCUACUGUUAUACAUAUGUUGAUUAGCUUAUCAAUUUCUGAAGCUUGAUUAAUUUCACAUCUUCAUAUUUUGUGUAUUGGUAGAUAAGAAGAAGUCCUCAAAUUGGUUACAGAAGCAGUUCUCGAGGCAAAUGAGUGGCCAGAGUUAUGACCCGAUAGGCGACAUGGAUCACGUAGCUGCAGUUGCAGCCACCGCUUAUGCCAUAAGCACUUUUGAAGAAACAUGGCUAGAGAGUUAUCAUGUAAGGGUUCUAAUAAAGACUUUUUGUUAUGGUUAAUUACAGUAAGCUUUUUCUAAUAAGAUGAAUUUGUUGUUCUUUGAAAUUGUAAAACAAAACAGAAUGGCAUUGAACUUGGACCUUCUUUGUCAAGGAGUAAGAGCAGAAGAGAAGAUGAGUUUCCUUCAGAGGAACCAAAAAGCUUAUCAAGAAGAUUCUCAGGUGAGUUUAAGGAAAAAUUCAAGAUUGAAUCAACUGAAAAUGUUUACGGAUGUUAACAUUUUAGUGUCGACACAGGACAACUUUCGUUUAAGGAUUCAGAGACGAAAGAUCAUAAACAUCCAACGCUAAAGUCCCCAAUGAGAAAGUCAUCUUCGGUAAAAAAGACUUUCUCCAUGAACUUGAGAGAAGAUCACACCAAACAAAAGGAAGACUCAGGGGAAAAACAUGAUAGACAAAGAAAACCGGUUUCUGAACCUCCUCGGAUACAACCACCGGUCAGGACACGAUCAGAACGUCGUGCUCCACCACCACCUCCUCCUCCUCCUCUUCUAUCACCUUCGCCUAUGCACCUUCCACCUAGGGAAAUGAAAAGGCAGAGUUCUGGACAUAUCAGUCGAAAAGAUAAUUCUACAGCUGAUGUUUGGGAAAAAGCUGAACUAGCUAAGAUCAAAGCAAAGUAAGUCUCAGUACACGAAAACAUAUUUAUGUGUGUUGCUUACACUCACAUAUGUUUUACACAAGCAGGUAUGAGAAGUUAAACAGAAAGAUUGAUAUGUGGGAAGCAAAGAAGAGGGACAAAGCUCGAAGGAAGCUGGACAUAUCUGAGGUUGAUAAUAUAAUGACUUUGUAUCAAAUCUAAUGUCAUGAUCAUUAUCAUAUAGUUGAAUGAUAAAUUUUGAGCUCUUUUUCACUAACUAACUUGUUGGUACAUGAACAGCAGAGCGAACUAGAACAGAGGAGGAGGAAAGGUUUGCAGAGAUUUAGAGACGACACAGAAUACAUCGAACAGAUUGCAGCCGGAGCCAGAGCUCAGGCGGAGAAAGAGAGACAUAGCAAAGAGUUCAAAGUGAAGGAGAAAGCCGAGGUUAUCCGUAGUAACGGUGAAAUCCCUGGAAAAGCAUGCUGUUUCUGACACUAAAAAACAGAGGGUCUUAGAUAAACAGUAGCUAAUAUAUAUGUACAUAUGUGUGUGUGUGAAAGAUUAUAUGGGAUUCGUUUAAAGAAAAGAAGUUAUUGAAAGCCAAAGUGUAUGAUGUAACAGAGAGCUCUGGGCGAGCUACAAAGAUACUUUGCUAACACAAAAACAACACAAGGCUCAAAAGACAAUAGUACUUCCUUUCAUUUGCUGUCUCUAAAACAUCCCUUAAGCUUGAUCAGCCCUUAACUUGUUAAGCUAAUCAUAGACACCUUUGAAGAACGUUUGGAUGGGAUAAAGUAAGAGGGCAUAAUCAUCAUGCAGCAGAUGUAAGAAGUUUGUACACCCAAAAAGUUUCCAUUCCACGUCAGAAGCCAUGCUUUUAUACAAAAUUCUUACUUAAAUUCUUUCAAAACUGAGACCAACGAAACCCAAUGAAACACUUCCUAGUUCCAAACAUGUAGUAAUUGUGAUUUGUCACACCAGUGAUUAGUGAAGCUAAAAUCGUGUUUAAAGAAGAUAGAUAAAUGUCAAAAUUGGGCCACUUAGAGCACCUCCAAUGGUAAGCACCAUUGGAGGGUGCUAAUCAAUUUUUAAAAAUUAAAUUUUCAAAAAUAGUGCUUAUGUGUUGCUUAUAAUCACAACUUAACCUAUGGUGCUUACAAUAUUUUCUUUUUUUAUGAUUAUAAUCAUUACAUAUAAUGAUAAGCAAUGUUAAAGAUACAUUAAGCAUCUCCAUUGGAGGUGCUCUUAUGAUCUCGUUAAAUUGUUUUAUGGUACACCUGUAUCGAGCUUAAAGGGCCUACCUUUAGACAGUGCUAUUUUGUAUUCUGUCUUUAUAAUAAUAACUUGUAAUUUACGCAACCGACAAAAUCAAAGUGGAUUGGAGUUAUCACACUCACUCAUAAAAGCUUCGACCGACAGUCUUUAAUGGAGAACGAUAAUUCCAUAAAAGAUAUUUAUGUGAUAUUUUUCGUGUUUUAUCAUAAAGACCACCUAACAAUUAUGUGAUCGAGAAGAGAACACCUCGUUGGUCACUGUAUAAUAAUAGCAACUGAUCACUCUAAUAAAAUGUUCUUUUCCGCCACGACAAGCAAUGAUAUCACAACUUUUUAGCUAAUUAGCAUCAACGACCAAAUAUAUACUUUAUAAACAGUGCUAGUAUUAAUUAUAGAUAUAGUAAGAGUGAUUACAGGUUUUUGUAUUACUGUUUCUUCUAAUAAAAUGGUUUGAUAUAUUGUUAUUUUAUAAUUUUCUCUAUUAAUGAAAUACAAUAUACAGUUUAGCAUUCCCGUGAUCUUGUUUUAUUUAAGUUUUAUAGAAAAAAAGAGCAUUAUAGUGGAUAUUUUCCAUAUCUAUGUCUAUAAAUAAUAGACAUAUCCCAUCUCUUCACACACUCAUACUACAUCCAACACACACAAAACAUUAAUCAUUUUUGAGAAGAGAGAAAAAAAAAAUGAAUUUCAUCUCCGAUCAGGUAAAGAAACUCUCAAGCUCGAAACCAGAGGAGCCAGAACACAACAAGCCUGCAGCUGAAGGAACCGAAACAGCUACUAGACCAGCUUCCAACGCCGAGCUCAUGGCGAGUGCCAAGGUUGUAGCUGAAGCUGCUCAGGCCGCAGCUCGUAACGAAUCAGACAAACUCGACAAGGGUAAAGUCGCCGGAGCCUCCGCUGAUAUCUUAGACGCUGCCGAGAAAUAUGGUAAGUUCGAUGAAAAGACUGGCACUGGUCAGUACCUCGACAAGGCCGAGAAGUACCUCCACGACUUCGAGUCGUCGCACUCCACCGGCGCCGGUGGUACUCCUCCUCCUGCGAGUCAGGCUGAGCCAACAAGUCAGACUGAGCCGCCGCCGGCAGCUAAGAAAGACGAUGAAGAGUCUGGUGGUGGGAUUGGAGGCUAUGCCAAGAUGGCUCAAGGUUUCCUCAAGUGAUUUGAUCUUUAAUUGUCGUUUCAUUUUCGUAAUAAUAAAUUAUGAUAACUUUUUAAGUAUGGUUUAUGUAUGUUGCAUUGUUUGCGUUAGUAUGGGGAGUGAGUGACGAGCGGUUGUAAUAAAAAUUCAGGUGAUCAUAAUCUAAUCCAUCUUUGUUGUGUUUAUGUUUCGUUUUUUCCAUUAAAAAAAAAGUUGUUUCUAUGUUAAAGUAGUGUUUCAAUUCCUAAUUCACACUACCAAUUAACAGAGACAGGUGAGAUUUGGUAUUGUUCCUAGUUUUCCUAAGAUCAUACAACCUCAGAGAAAUGGACUUUAAGAAACAGAGAGAAUAAUUACUUGCGAUUACAGGACACUGAUUUAUCUCAAUCUAAAAUUUGUUCAUUAAUUUCAUAAAACAAACGCUUAGAGUUAUCAACAACCUCUCUGAAUCUAGACAUGAACUCUUAAACAUCUCUCUCCCAGGCACAACUUGUUACUUCCCUGUCUCCCCAAAACACAGAAUCUCUCUUUCAAUUAACAGUCCAACCAAUCUCUGUCCAUAAUCUCCAUUAAACGCUGAGCUUGUGGAGCAUGGUACCAAGGAAUCUUCUUCCAUGGAUAAGCUUGGUUUUUUUAUAAUGAUCACUGUCGUAAAAUGGACAUUUCACUUCAAGCACACCACUUGAACUUAACCCUUCUUUAACCACCUGAAUGUUCUUCUUCUUCUUUGAAGACAACUACGUACGAAUUGAGGUAAAAGAAAUUCAUGUCCUGUUAGUUCAUGGUACAGUAUUGAGUGCUUCAAACUCUUUGAUCUUGGUCCAGCAUGUUUUACUGCAUUUCCUGAAAAUGGCUCCAUUUUUUUUUGUUCCAACCAAAGUUGAACUCUACUGUUAGGCCAAAACCCAAUGGCUUAUGCAAAUACCCAAUGUAUUUUUAUGCCAAUGUUGCAACUUUGUUGGGCCAUAUAUUUGGAAGUAACCGAAAUAGGCCCAUUAGAUUAUAUAUUGAACUGGACCACUAAAAUUAAACAAUAAGAAAGUGGUCAAAGGAAUAAAAUAUCUUCAUGUAUUCACCAAUCUAAAAGAAAAAAAUUAGUCGAUGAAAAAUCUCUAUCACAAACGGUUCUCUUAUAACUCUCUCUCUCUCUUUCUCUAUACGACAACAUUUUGCAAAGAAUCGUACUCGGACAGUAAUAAUCUCAUUGUCACAUUCCCAAAGUCCCAUCAUCAUUGUCACGUGAAAGGCGCGUGUGAUGAUGGACGUUGGUUACUUGCAGUUACAGUUGCAGUUGAAGGACACCGUUGUCUUCUAGGCCUUCUUGUCAUCUUACCCCAACCUGCAAAACUUCUAUCUUCUAAACUCAUUUCAGUCUCACCAUUGUUGUUUUGAUUGCACACAUGUUGUUGAACCGAGGGAGCAGGAGCAGGAGCUGGAACUGGAGCUGGAGCUGGAACAGGGCAAUAGACCGGUUCAGCAGGGAUUGUUAUGACUCGUCGUGGUCUUCCUCUUGCACCCGUUUUCUUCCUUGUUAAACCGGUUGGAGUCCAGGAGCUUCCUGUUGCUCUCAUGAACCCAUCAAACAUUUGAAUGUCUUCUGUUACUUCAUGUUUUGAAAGAGACAGAAGUCCAGGGAGAAUGUCUCUUUGGAAGUCUCGUCUCUGUUUUCCUUUUCUCGCAUUUCCUCUUCUCGGUCUUUGGCUCGUGACCAGCGCGGUUCCAGAGGUUUCCUCCAAUUUGAGGUCUUCAGGAACCAAUGGCUUAGGCAUAUACUCUUCUUCUGAGAUCUCAGGUAGUUGCAGGGUCAUUGACUCAAAGUAAUCAAUCUCUUCUAUAGAACGUGCUUGAUUCCUCGAGAAAGUAUCGAGCUUUUUGUCCAGAUUCUCUUUGUGAGUAUUUACUGUUUCUGCAAACCAGUGAAGGAUGAUGGUUUCAGAGACUUCCGGCGAAGUAGCAUCUUCAAGCUCUCUAUCUAGGCAAGCUGAAGAGAUGGCAACGAUUGCUUCAGCUGCUAAUUCUUCAAACUCAGGUGGUUUCUCUAAAGUUUUUUCCUCAAUUGGGGUUUCUUCUGAUGGCUUUUCUCCAGGGAUGUUAUCAUCUUCUUCUUCAUCAUCAGACUCAGGAACAGCUUCCAAAUCUAUCAUAGUCUUCGAAUUCAGUCUGGAACUGGCAGGAAGAGAGCAAUUUUCGCCUUCAUCAUCACUAACCAACAUGUUCAAAUCAAUCUGACACCUAUUACUAACUGGAACCUUUGUCCCGAUCUGUUCCUCUGUUUGCUGAUCUUCAUCCCAAAGAGGAUCACACGGUUCGUUCAUGUCUAGCAUCCUACAGUUAUGGACUUUACCUUUUUCUGCAUUGGAUUGAUCUUUAUAAGCAGAUCCAGGAAAUUCCAAGUUAGCAGUAAACUUCUCAGUCUCCGGAUUAUUGGAACAUGAACCAGACUUUAACCUCUCUAGCCACAUCAUAUUCUGAGCUUUGUCUCUUGCCUCAUCUUUGAUAUCCAAUGGUUUCAAAGUAGAACUCAGAACAGCAUCAUCAUUACUCUUCAGAUUCCAUUUCCCAUCAGCCAUCUCAGAGUUACAAACAUACUUGGGUUUAUUAAGCCAUGGUAAAGUAGCUACGCGUUCUUCAUCCUUUCUGACUUCAACAACAGAAGUAUUUGAAAGUGUCACAUUUAAAUUCAAAUCUCUCACAAACUUCAUCUCCGAGCUGUAGUCACUUCUUCCUCCGUUAGGAUAAUUAAAGCCAGUCUCACCGAAUUUCGACUUUGAUGAAGAGGAACAUUCAUUGUAAAACAUGUUUUGGUUUAACCGACUGGAAUUCCCGCACCCCGAGUUUAAUCUAGAAUUGCUUUCAUACUGCAAUCUGUCUCCAAGAAACCCUUGUUUCUGAGCAUUUCCACUCACUGUGUCAGACAAGUUUAGAACCGGAUAUCUCUGUGCUGAAGCAACUUUCUGAGAAAACCCAAAACUAGGAUUUUGCCAAGAAGAGUGCAAAUGGUUCCACGAAACAGCAGAAUCUGGAGGAUUAAACGGAUACAAGUGGCGUUGUUGGUGAGAAACUAAACUUGACUCCACAUGAUUUUGAUGAAUGAUGGCUUCAUGACUACUAUUGGUUUCAGUAUCAGCCUCUAGGUCAAUAAACGUUCUUUCUCUCCAGAACAUUGCCUUACUUGGUGGACCAGAAUGAGGUACACUCAUAACUCUUUGUGAACUGUUCAAGAGAACUUGCAUAUGCUGAGACGAUGAAUCAAGAGGCUUGGCCGCUUGAAAAAAUGGAGCAGAAGAAUUGUGUGUGCCAGUAUAAUGAUCUGCAUACGGUGGAUUUUACAUUAAAACAUUGGUAAAGAAAGAAACAUGUGUAACAACAACCGCAAUUACAGCAUGAUGGAUCAUCUUACCAUUUCUUAAGGGUUGAUGUGGCCAAACUUUUCGUCUACCGUUCUCAUCAGAAUGCAGAGAGUUAACAGGAACAUGCUCCCUUACACUACCCGAGUUUAGAGAUGAUUUUCCGUCGUCGCGAAUAUGGCUUUGAAACUCACCAUUACGCAAGUCACGGGGAUAGCCAUAAGCAAAUUCGUUUGUUUCUUGAGCACUAAUUGGUUCAUUUAAGUCAGCCAAACCAUUGCUUCUACUCGACCCAUAGCCAAUUCUCAACCCAUCUCCGCGAGAUUCAGUCUUGACAGCUCCAUUAGGAAGCUGACUGGAGGUGCUGCAAACCCUGUGAUCUUUUAGCUCCACAACUUCGUCAUUGUCAUCAAUGUACUCAUCAGCUGGAAGACAAAGAUCUAUCAUCUUUCUUCUGAUUUUCGUCGGUCUAACUUCUGACAAUUCAACAUUCUUGGAACUAGCUCCAUUUUGCCAUGAAACUGGGCCAACAACCCCUUGAGAAUUGCUUCCUUUCAUGGGAGAAUGGCCAUUAUCCUCAACGACCGACACGGAUGGCCUAUCGUAAACCGAGUUUGCCAAAGGGAAACUAGGGAUUUUCCAUUUACGGGGAUCAACAUUAGUAGCUUGAGAUGAAAAAGACGCGUCAACCGGAACCCAUUCUUUAUUCAACUGUUUCCUUUUCAGUUCUUCCAUCAUAUCCUUUUGUAUCCUGUACACCCGGUGAAGUUCCAAAACCUGGUUAAAGGAUCAAAGUUGACAAAAAUACAAUCAACAAAAAAAGCUGACAAUGCAAGAGAAACAGAGAAAGAUCACAGAGAAAAUCUUAAAGUAAGUAAGUAAGUAACCUGUGUCUUAAAAACAGCUUCGUGCUCGAGCAUAGUCCUUCUCACCAAAUCUUUGUCAUAACCAAAUGAAGUCUGAGAGGGGUAGAAUUGAUCAUUAGCUGGAGAGGUUUUACUGUCACCGUAGAACAAUGGCCAUCUACAACCGUUAGACUCUUUGUUGAGAUCUCCCAUAGAGUGAUGAUAUCCACCAAAUAAGCCUUCACAGUGCACCUUUGUUCCCAUUCCUGCUCACGAAAAAUCUAAACCUCAGUCUCGGCCAAGAGAGAUAGAACAAAUCUAAUUCAAAAGAAACUAAAUUUGCCCACAAAUCCUAACAAUCAUCACAUUCCCUUUGGGGAGGGGGAAAGAACAACCCCAUGAGCUCAAUCUAUCUAAGUACAAUCUCCACAAACCCCAUUUCAGAGUAGCUUCAAAUUCAUCAAAAGUCAAACAGUAAACCACACAAAGCAAAUUGCAAAAGUGAUAACACUAGCAAAGGGUUUUGACUCAAACGGAUGAGAACUCUAACGCCGACGAGUCAAAAUAGGAUCUUGAGCAAUUAAAAAAAUCUAAAGUUAGAUAACAAAGAAUCUGCAAGAUAUUAGGACAAAGAUUGUACCAAAUUGAGAUAAAAGAGAAAUGCUUUAAAUCUAGUAGUGAAAAAUUAAGGAGAUGAAAUUGGGAAUCCCAAACUCCAAAUCAUAAGAGCAAAAACAAAUAAAAACCCCAAUUAAAUAAAUAAAAAUAAAAAGAGAUUUUUAUUUACCUCAAAGCCACAUCCUCUUAUCGCCAAGCUCGUCUCGAGACUUUGUCGGAACAAGGAAUUAAAUAAAAAUCUCAGAAUCAGAAAGGCAAAAAAGUAAGAAAAAUUUCCGAAUCUCUCUCUCUAUCUCUAGAGAGUAAAUGGGAGGAGGAUUGAAAGAGAAGAAAAAAGAGAAAAGGGGAAUAAGAGUUAUAGCGUAAACACCAUUAAUGGAAAAAAUUAGAUCGUCAUCUUCGAUCUACUGGGCCACUCUUCUCUCUCUAUUACCAAACAUAAAAAUCCUUGCCUUUAUGCUUUGCUUCUUCUUCUUCUUCUUCUAUGUGAGGAGAGGAGAGGAGAGGGGGUGAUAAAAGAAGGUUUGUGAGAGAGUUUAUAUUAUUUAGAAGAAGAAGAAGCAGAAGAAGAAGAAGAAGACGAAGAGAAAAUUAAAAAUAAAAAUAAAAAGGAAAGAUCCGAAAAUGAGAAGAAACGAGAGAGAGAGAGAGAAGAGAGAGAGAAGGGCUUUGGCUUUUGUACAGUGACAUGAAAUUAUUUGUCAACAUCCGGUCUUCUCUUCCCUUUUAUUCUCUGCUUUUUCUUCUUCUCUCUUUUUUUCUUAACUCAUUUUGAUUUUAUUUAAGGGAAUGUAAUAAUAUUUAUAUUAUCCCAUUUAACAUGAAUACUAAUAAUAAUUAAGUUUAAUAUUGUUAUGGAAAAGAAUCAGGUUUAUCCAAAAUUAAAUAAAUAAACAGCAUGAUUAGUUUGACUCGUGAAACUAUUCCUUUUAUUUUUUACAACAAUUUAUUUACGGUUAGGAUAUUUCCAUUUUAUUACAUGUGCUGGAAAAAAAAAAUAUCGAUUUGCCAAAGAAAAAAAAAAAGAAUUUUUAACGAAUGCGAGCAGUACAAGUAAAUAAUUGGUGAAAUGUGAAAAUAGGGUAUCUUCUAGGUUCUCUUCAUCUUCUUUACUUGCUUUCCAAUGCCCUUUUACGAUUAUACACAUAUUAUAUGUUUAUUUUCGUAUACUAGAAAAAAACGAAGUUAAAACAAGUUUAUGCUGAUGCGUGGCCAUCUUAGAUGAUAAUCAUGAUUAAUAAAUAAUUUUAAACGAAGAUUAUUUAUUUAGUGCUGGGAUGUUUAUUGUGCUUUGUUAAAUACGUACUGAUUUAUCAAAUGAUUUAUUUGUAUUGCAAUGAUUUUGGUGGUAUGCUACAGCUUUAAAUUUACUUGGAACGUGCUAUAGUUACUGUAAAAAUUAAUAAGAUUAAAUGUUCUAGCUAGAGAGUUUCAAUAUUUUGACAUAGAAAUAAAUAUACCAAGUAGUUAAUGAUAUGAGGUCAAAAAUUGUUGUUUACAGCGACUAAUACUCUGUAUAUAGUAAUCAUAUAAAAAUAAAACCGAACAUGUCGUCACUUCGUCUAAAAGGAUAUAUAUAUAUAUAUAUAUUAUAUCAUUUGUCCAAUUGAUUACGCAUUCUUUUUUGUUUAACACGUUUUUUUUGUUAGACCUAAUUUUUGUUUUCUUUGUUUUGGUUUAAUUUUGAUAAUUAGGCCUCAGUUUUAUCUACAAAUACUAUAAAAUUAAAAUAAAGCUGUAAUUUAAUAGAAUUAUUGACAGCAAAACAAAACGUGGGUCCCGCCAAAAAUCUUCUCUUCUUUUUUUCUUUUUCUCUAAAAUAAAAUCUAAUCUCGUUGGCUUACUGUAAAUGUGGGAAUAACUUUUUCAGUUUUCUUUUGUAUUCUGAGGAAUUAUAAGUUUUUAGACUUCUUCUAUCAAAUCUUUGGAUUGGUGCCUAAAGUUAUCAACAAGUAGGCUUUUUAUAUUAUUUUUUAAAAACCGUAAUAUAGAACAAAGGUAUACAAUAAAGUUUUUUUUUUUUGUAAAGGAGAGAAAUCUAUAACAAAACAUGAAAUCAUCAUCAUACACAGUAAGUUGAGUAAUGUCUCUCAAACCUCGUGAGUGGUUAUAAAACUUAAAAAUGUUUUGAAGUAGUAUGUAUGAAAAGUGUUUUAUAAAUGCUACUAUGCUAGCUAGAGUUGAAUUUCCAAAGAUGUUUGUUUUGGUAUCAAAGAGGGUCCAGCACACAUUUGUUAUAUAUAUUUAAAUAAAACAAGAAUAUGAAGAAACGGCACCUUAAAGGAGUAACAAAAUAAUUAUUACUUUUUCUUACGAUCGACAUGACCAAACAAAACUCUUUUAAAAGUUCGUAAUUCUUGUAAAUUUAUGUUACAUUAAAAAUGCUUCAGAACUACUAUCGAAUUCUAUCUUUUAGAAUUAUUGUGGGGGAGUAUUCUCACCCAAAAAAAAAAAAAAACAUUUUAAAAAAAAGUUUGGUAAACGGGUAAAAAAAAAAAAGGGAACUAAACUAGGGGUGUUUCGCCUGUUGUGUGGCAUUGGAAUCAUUAUGUUUUGUCUCUUAUGUCACAAACCCACAUGGUUAAUACCGUAUUGGUAAUAUUAUUUUAGGUAACCAUCGGCAAAUUUAUGACAAUGUCUCUUUUUUUACCCUAUUUUUAUUCCAACAAUACUACUGUCGUAAUAAAAAUGCAACCCAAUCAUAAUACAUAGUAGAGAUCGUACAUGGGCUUAUCGUGUAAUAUUUUUUCCAAAAUGAAUUUGAAUACUACAAAAUCAAUAAAAGAAACAAAAAAUGAUUCGAAGACACUCUUUAUAUAAAUAAUAGAUCGAAGGGAGCCCUAUAAUAUUAUAUGCAUGUAUCAACAAAUAGAUAGUUAAAUAUAUAAUGGGGUUCAAGAUAAGUUUGGGAUAUAUAAUAGACCUUAAAAGUGGUCCAAAGUAUACUUUCGGAAAUGUCACUCUCAUCAGAACAACUAAAGAAAAGAAAAAAAUGUUAAAACAAAAUAUCGAAAAGAAAAAAAGAUCAAAAAAAGAGUUAUGAAAAACAAACUGAGUCCAUUAGUCAAGGGUCCUAUCAUAGUUCUUAUGGGGUAUGUCCCACCAAAUUGAUUUCCUUGCGAAUCAAAAAUUGCAACACAAAUAAUUAAUAAAUCUUCUAUAAAAUAUAUACACAUGCAACUAUCAAUUUUUCUACCAAACAAUAUUAUAUUAAUUAUACUUCCGAAUCAUACAUAAUAAAACUAAAACACGUAUUUUUAUUAUCAAACAUAUACCAAAGUUUUAAGGAAAUAUGAUGGUUAGAAAUUAUAGAAUUACGUAUGAGAUAAAUUAUUUUAUGUUUUUUUUUUGGUAGUAUAAAUUAUGUUAUGUUGACAGUCUCAUUAACUCAUUAUUAUGCAUAUAUUGGUUGGAAAUAGAUUUAUCACUUUGACAUUAUAAAAAAAAAUAAUAUAUUAUUGAAAUUGAAAAGAAAAAAAAAAGUAAAACUAUUUGCCACUCGUCUCCCACUAGCUCUUCUCUCUAUUCUCUUUUUACCCAAAAAAUAUAUAUAUUUAUAGUUUUUAAAAUACGCUCUCUCUGUCUUUAACGUCAAUUUAUUAAUCUCUAUACGUAAGAGGAGUAUUAUUUUAUUAAAUGAGAAUUGAAUAACUUUUGCUCAUGAGUUUGUGUUUAUACAAUAAAGAUAUGUAUAUAGUCCCUUUCGAAAAGCAUCAAAGAAAGAAAGAACGUAGACAAAAAAAAACACCACACACACAACAAAGCAAUCAAUUAAACUCUUAAUUAUCGUAUUCUAUAGCCUGAUAAAGUAGAUUCCAUAUAAAAUCUAUAUAGCUAAUCCCAGAUCUGUUUUAAUUCCUUCUUUUUUCUUCAAGACUACUAUAUUAUGUGUUUUCCAUCAAAUUAUAUCUUUAGUGAUGGAUUAAAAAAUGACAAAAAUUUUGGUCUUAAUAAACGAAAUUUACAAAAAAAAAAAGAAGUUAAACCAUCUAACGAAUUCAUAAGGCUAGAAUAAUUUCAUGAUCAUAUAUAAUCAACCUGUGUGAGUAUCUUAAAUAGUAAAAAUAUCUUGCACUUUCGUGUAUUAUUGAUUAGAUAUAUGAUUUGAAUAUAUAACUAUUGAAUGUGUGUGUGUCCAUAAAAUACUAAGCAAAGAACUAUAUCCAUAUAUUUUGCUUUUUGUUCUUUUCCCUUGAAUAAGACUGAUGAUGAUAAGCCCAUUUCCAAAUAUACAAUUUGGGCCUAAAUCACACCACAGAAACAAAACAAAAGUUGUUCCUCAAUUGCCAACUUGCCAUUGUAAGUAGCUUUCUAAUAAUACUAAUAGCAUAACUAAUUAAUUAUACUGAUUUACACACAAACCAGCGAGAGACACUGAUGGUGUAAUAUGUCAAGUGUGCUACUUUACAAUUUGUUAUGCCAUAAGAAUCUAAUUUUCUAACCACAAUACGUUUAAUAAGUGCCAUUACAUUGAGAUUAAUAACAAACAUACAGUAUAUAAGAAUAAACAAAGUAAUUACUAGUACAUUUGCAAGACAUCGUUUUUACAUCGUAUGUAAUGUACGGAUGGUUGGUUGGUUGGUUCCUGAGAUGCUACUUGGAAUCUGAAAGGGCCAAUCACCGAAUUUGGUCGACAAAGACGAGAGAAAAAAGGAAGAAAGAAGAUGCUCUCUCUCUCUCUCUCUUUCUUCUCCAAUGGACAAUUUUGGGAGUGUGAAGAAUAAAUUAAAUAAUAGUAAUAAAAAUGGGGAAUGGCAGAAGAGUGUAAAUAAGGUGUAAGUAGGUGGGUUUGUUUUGUCUAGAGACUAGAGAAAACUUGCUAAAGGUUCGUGGACAACUGAACAUAGAGAUAAAUCGUGUUAUGGGGAUUUGAGAGCGAAGAGAGAAUACUGGUAAUGUUUAAGUGUUAUUUUCCCUUUAUAUCCUUUGAUCCUUCUGAUAUCAUUUUCCUACUAUAAUUUUCUAACCAAACAAAAAUACUUUCCCAUCUAGAAUCGAUGAUCUUUUAAUCUUAUAUUUUUUUCAAAAUUAUAUUAUUUUCUCAUAAAUUUAUACAAACUAAACAAUUUAUAUCAUACAAAUGAUUUUUUAUUUGUUGAAUUGUGUUUAUAUAGACAUUAAAUAAUUUAUUUAUUUAAAAAUAAGCAAAAUUUAAUAACUUCUUAAUUAAUGUAUGUUUUCUUAAAAAAAAAAAAUUUCUAAAACUGCGAGAAUAGCAAAUUAUUUGUACACACAUUUUAUCUGUAUAUCUUACACAACAUUAAUACACUGAUUAAUUUUGUCAGCUUAGAAAAUCUUGUUGUGCUAGGAAAUACUACUAGAAAGUUUUCUUUUUAGAUUAGGUUGUCCUUGUGAUAUAGCCUCUCUGACCUAUGAUUGCUCUUUGCUUGGAUCCUAUAAAUAUACAGUUAUAGGCAGUAUCAAUGUAUUAAAUCAUGUACUGUAUAUAUAUAUAUAUAUAUUAAUUUACAAGUAUUUUUCAAUUUAAAUUAGUAGAAAAUAAAAGAAGUAUAAAUUGCUUUGUAUAUACGGUAUUUUAUUUAUGGAACAUAUUUGAUCCAAUCAUGUUAUUAUAAGGCGUCGUAGUAGGUGGACGACGCUAUGCAAAGGUUUUUCAGUUUUUUACACGCUAUGUAAAGUUACUUUUCGACAUCUGUUUAUCUUCUUCUUCUUUUUUUUUUUUUUUUGGUUUUUACUUUCUUUAAUAGUUUUGUUUUAGAGACGUUCUAGAUGUCUUAAUAAAUAUUAAAUGUUAAAUAUAUAAUCUGAUCUACAAAGCUUUUCAUAUCAUAAAUUUUCCACUAAGAUCAAUUUAAUAAUACGCGUUACAUUGUUUGUUUGUUUUGUCGCUAUACACACACAUGUUUCAGAACAAACAAAUACUUUUUUUUUUCCUUUUUUGUUAAGAAAGCUUUGAUGAUUAAAUUGUUGACAAACAGUCAGAGUCUUUCUUGUCAACAAAUUCAUCAAAAAAACUAUAUAAUCCGAAAUUCACAAUGUUAUUAAUUAACUUUUUUAAUCAGAUGUUUUUUUCUCUCGUAAUUAGCUUAUAAGUAAUUAAUUACUUAUAUAUAUAUAUAUAUUUAAAAUGUGUUCUAUAAUGUUAUCAAAAGAGUGACCCUACGAAAAUGGGGGAGUCCACAAGAAUCAAAUAAGGGACCCAAGAAAGACUCGACCACCAAUCACCUGUGAUCACUCACAUACUUAAAACCUAUGAUCUUUGUUUGCCUUAACGGCAGGUGUCAUCUUGAAUCUCGAUCCCAUCACUCUCAGAGAUUGAGAUACCUUUCUCACUCAUGUACCCCACCCACCUCUGCACCAGUCUUGCUCAGUCGACAAUUUUAAGCUGCCCGUACUCGACAAAAGCUCAAGAAUACACAUUUACAAUGAUCCCGUUAAGCUGCCUGCCUCUAAAAAGGCCCAAAGGGCCUUACUCCCACAAACACAUAGGUCACGUGAUCUGAACGGUGGGAGAAACGCUUUCUUUUACACUUUAAAGCCUAUUAAACACACUAGAAAGGGCCUUAAAGCCCAUAUUAAAACGCCUUUCCUUUUUGCGCUUUUUCCGAUCGUCGUCACUCGUCACCUAUCGCAAGAUCCUCCUCGUCGAAGCUCUCUGCUGGAAAGCAAAGCAACCAUGUCCAACGAGGAGCAUCAUCUUGAGUCCAGCGACGCCGGAGCUUCCAUAAUCAACCAUGGCGUUUAUAGGGGUUGUCACUGAUUUAUGAACCUUUUCUAUUAUAAUUUAUGUGACCCUCUCAAUCUCUUUGUCAUGAGCUUCUUCUUCUUCAUCUUCUUCUUAUAUGUUCUUUUUAGAGUCUUUCUUUACUCAGAGACUAUCUUGUUUUUGGGUUUCUCUAGCUGCUUUGGGAUAUUUAAAAUGUUAGUUAUUAUAAAUGUCAUCUUCACGUCUGUAACCUUUGUCCUUUCAUGUUUUUGGCUGCCCCCAAAUGUGAACGAGUUCCACCCAUGAAUCUAACCUUUUAUGCGCGCCAAGUCUUUACUCGUGCGUUUGUGUCGAGAGACGUAUAAGCAAUUACUAUAUAAUAGAAUAAUGGAGUCUAAAAUUAUUGAAAUAUGCUAAACAAACCUCGAAAAGUAUCAGUUUUAUAAUACUGGUAUUUGGAUAUGAAACUUGAAAAGUAAAACUAAACGUUCUAUACAUUCAGUAUGGGAAAAAAUAUAUACGAGUAGUUGAUAAUCGUUUAAAACUCAAGAGUUCCCUUUUACUACAUAUAAUCAAAAUAAAAAAAUGUAAAACAUUUGUCCAAAAAAAAAAAAAUGUAAAACAAAACUUGACUUAAGAAGAUAAACAAUGAAAACAAGUAUAAUCUUAUACUAUAAACGAAGCUGUAAUAAAACUGUUGUGUGUUUUUAGAUCAAUUUUUUUAUUAUUAUUGUAGCAAUCACAUCUGAUCUCUUUGUUGUUGGUAAUAAAAUGAUUAAACUGGUGUAUUCAAAUCAUACAGGCAACGUGUGUCCCACAAUUAAUUAUAAGAAUGUUUAAUAUUAAGCUCUCAUGCCAAAAAGUCAAAUGUCUCUUCAAAAAAAGUCAUGUAGCCCAGUUUACUCAUCUCACGUUUCCUCCUAUUACAAAUAUACACCCAAAAGUCCACUAAACACAACCAAAAUUGAUUAAUGCUAUUAGUAUAGUAUACAAAAAGUUCAUUUCUUUCACUUCAACAAAAACAAAAAUUACAGAAAUAGCAUAUCAAAAACAAAUUAUAUGUAUUUUAACACUGUUUUAUCAUCAUCAUCAUCAGUCGAAUCACACAAGGAAAAAUCUUGUUUUUGUAUAAAGAAAAAAAAACACAGCUCUCAUGUUAUUAUGAUGAUGAGGCUUAUAUUCGAAAGCCCAUUAAGACACGAAAAUGGGCUUUAAAAAAAAACGGAAUGAUAGUUGUCAUAAUGUGAUUCGUACAACGUGGAGUAGCAGCAAGUGGCCAUGUCCGGCUGUCCCAGAGCCCUCUCUCUUCGAUCCAGGUUCACCGUACAUUACAAAUUACAAGACCGACGCUUUUUUUUUUUUUUUUUGGUAUGUAGGUGAAACCUAAAUUUUGAUCUAUUUGGUACAAUUAUUUUUUGUUUUGGUUUUGCUUUGACUGAGGUAUUCAGAUUUUUUGUUUGCUUUGCUAUGCUUUUUUUUUUUUUUAAUAAAAGGAUUAAAAACAAAUAAUUCUAGAUUAGUCUCGGUAACCUUAUGUUGUCGUGGUGGGAUUAGUAGUAGUAAUCAUUUCUUAACAUGUAAAAAAUUACAAUUCUAUGAAUUUGUGUAAUUCAUUUACCAUGAGCUCUUUAAAUGAUGUAUAUCUUUGUUUUAUUAAUAAAGAAAGUAUACAUAUUUUUUAAAUAGAAAAAUAAAGAUAAAAAUACAUACAUAAUUAAUAAGACCAAAAUCUAACAUUUCAAUUCAUAAAUGUACCUGUAAAUAAAACUGUACAAAACGACAGAAUAUCUAUUGAUCUUAAAAAUUAUAGUAUUUUAUUCCAAUUUUCUACUGACUCCUUAUAAAAUGGAAUUCACAUUUAUGUCUGAACUUUAUUCAAAAAAAAAGUAAAUCUAACUUGUCUGAACAUUACUACUCAAAUAAACCAUAUUAUUAAGAACUUUUUACACACUUUGACAAAAAAAAAAAAAGAGAAAUAGCUUUGUUUAAGAUUACACAUAUCUGCAGCGUGGACUUUCUACUGCGAACCCAAAAAGAGUUUUUAAUUUAUCUUUCUUAAGUUUCCAGAUCCGUUUUUAAUACCAGAGAAGGACAACAAAAAAAAAACUCGAAAUCUCCAUUAAAAGAGAACUGAUAGAUUAGAUAUUAAAAAGAACACAAAACAAAACGGCGAAGGCACAAAAAAAAAAAAAAGGUGAAGCGAAACACGACACGGAUUCACACAGAUAUAUACAAAAAGGAUUUUUUUAGAUUUGAGAACCCAAAAAAAAAAAAGUUUCCUUUUUUCUUCUCUGUUUUUGAUUGAUUAAUUGGGUUGUUGGGUUUUUCUCUUUUUGGAGAUCGAUGUCGGAAAAGGAAGAAGCUCCGUCGACAUCGAAGUCCACCGGAGCUCCGUCGCGUCCUACUUUAUCUCUUCCCCCACGUCCUUUCACUGAGAUGUUCUUUAACGGUGGCGUUGGAUUUAGUCCUGGUCCGAUGACUCUCGUCUCUAAUAUGUUCUCUGAUUCCGAUGAGUUUAGGUCUUUCUCUCAGCUCCUUGCUGGAGCCAUGGCUUCUCCUGCCACUGCUGCUGCUGCUGCUUCCACGGCUACUGAUUACCAGAGAAUUGCUGAAGGGAAUAAUAAUAACCAUAGCAGCUCGAGUGGUGGUGUUGAUGUUGACCCGAGAUUCAAGCAGAGCAGACCCACCGGUUUGAUGAUUUCUCAAUCUCAAUCUCCCUCGAUAUUCACCGUACCGCCUGGUUUAAGUCCGGCCAUGCGCCUCGAUUCACCUAGCUUUUUGGGUCUUUUCUCUCCCGUUCAGGUAGCUUUAAGAUUCAUCUUUUCAAUUUUGCUUUUUCUUUGUUUUUUUUUGGUUUCGUUGAAAAAUUUAAAAAUCUAUUUAUGGAAACUGUGUUGUUUGUGUCUUUCUUUGUUGAGCUGUUUCUUGUUUUUUUGUUUUGUUGGCGCUGGUGAGAGAAGAAAAUAAUAACACACGUAUUUGUUAGCAAAUCUUUAGGUAUAUUCCAACAAAUUCUAGAUUUUGUAACCAUUUUGCUGGAAUCGUUCUUAAGUCAAAAUUGGAGGUUAUGAGAUUUUUAGAUUGAUUUAGGGCUUCUUAGAGAUUUGGGGAUUUCUCCUAAAGGAAGGAACUUUUGCAACUCAACUGUAUUGAAAAGAUAGGACGUUUCAGACAAAAAAAAACAAAAGGAGGAGCUUGUGGAUCAAAUACUCAAGGUUCCUCAGUAAGGUUUCCUGGUGCCAUAUUCGAUAUCAUGUUCUUAUGAUCUGAUAUGUUUGAUUAUGGAACAAUAUGCUGUCUUUAGUCGAAAUGGAUCCUUUAAAACAGCUCUUUGCUAUAUUCUCUUUUGAUUUGGUUAUAUAGUUUUUGACUUGGGGGUUACUAGCAGGUUUCGUUUCUCUGGCUAUACUUUUUCUUGACUCUGAAUCUGUUUUACCUGUUUUGAUGAGUGCUCGGAUUUUUUUCGUUUUCGCGGUUCUUGUUCUAACCUGGAAUGUCACAAUGUGCAGGGAUCAUAUGGAAUGACACAUCAGCAAGCUCUAGCUCAAGUUACUGCUCAAGCAGUUCAAGCCAAUGCCAAUAUGCAACCACAAACCGAGUACCCUCCUUCCUCUCAAGUUCAAUCAUUUUCAUCGGCUCAAGCUCAGAUCCUAACCUCGGCUCCACAUUCUUCAGUACCAGCUCAAAGAGAAACCUCAGAUGUAACCAUCAUCGAGCACAGGUCACAACAGCCUGUAAAUGUUGACAAACCAGCUGAUGAUGGCUACAACUGGCGAAAAUAUGGGCAAAAGCAAGUUAAAGGCAGUGAGUUUCCUCGAAGCUAUUACAAGUGCACGAAUCCAGGAUGUCCUGUCAAGAAGAAGGUUGAGAGAUCUCUUGAUGGACAAGUAACGGAGAUCAUCUACAAAGGUCAGCACAGUCAUGAACCUCCUCAAAACACUAAGCGAGGAAACAAAGAUAGCUCCGCGAAUCUAAAUGGGAGUUUGAUAAAUAACAAUCGUGGGAGUUCUGAAUUGGCGGCGUCACAGUUUCAAACCAAUAGCUCCAACAAGACUAAGAGAGAGCAACAUGAAGCAGCUAGUCAAGCUACCACAACAGAGCACAUGUCUGAGGCCAGUGACAGUGAAGAAGUCGGUAAUGGAGAAACCGGAGUGAGAGAGAAAGAUGAAAACGAGCCUGAUACCAAGAGAAGGUAAAAUUAUAAGCUCUAUUGAUGAUUGAUUAUAAUUCAAAUUUUCAGUUUUUUGAUGAGUGAGAGUUUUGAUUAUGCAGAAAUAUAGAAGUUCGGGUUUCUGAACCAGCUGCUGCUGCUUCACAUAGAACCGUGACAGAGCCCAGAAUUAUUGUCCAAACGACUAGUGAAGUUGAUCUUCUAGAUGAUGGAUAUAGGUGGCGCAAAUAUGGACAAAAAGUUGUCAAAGGGAAUCCUUAUCCGAGGUAAUACAUGAAAAACCAUCGAUUUGUCUAGCUAUUACACUCUUUAAAAGGUGGAAUCCGGUGAUCAAUAAAGCUUAUGCCCUAUAACAUUGUGUUAUCUUUUUGAUCCUUAGGAGCUACUACAAGUGCACAACACCAGGAUGUGGAGUGAGGAAACAUGUAGAGAGAGCAGCAACAGAUGCAAAAGCUGUGGUAACAACAUAUGAAGGAAAACAUAACCAUGACCUUCCAGCAGCUAAAUCAAGCAGCCAUGCCGCUGCAGCGGCACAGUUAAGGCCAGAUAAUCGACAUGGCGGUUUGGCCAACUUAAAUCAGCAGCAGCAGCAGCAGCCCGUUGCGCGUCUAAGGCUUAAAGAAGAGCAAACAAUUUGAGAAAAGAAAAACAAUCUCUGACCUUUUUCAUGAUAAAGCUUUCAAACCCCACUCAUACACUUGUCUGAGAAAUCUAGCUGUUUGCAGGAAAGAAAGAGCUUCAGAAGGGGUUUGUUAUUCUAUGUUCUGGUGUAAAACUUAAGAAGCUCUUUAGGUUUUCAGGUUUCUGUUUUACUAAUAUGUGAAUUCUUUUGUACAUGAGGAAGGAAAUUACAGGGGGAUAUUUUGUGUUGUAUCUUUGUGUUAUUGUUUCAGUAAAGGAUAGGUCUUACAUUUUGUGGAUGAAAUUAUAAUCUUGUAAUAUCAAACUGUGUUUUCUUUUAUUUAUUAUCAAUAAUAUUAUCACAUAAUGGCUAAUGACACAAAUUUUGCUUUCUAUAGCUCAUUCACUCGUAGUCAUAUACAGAGAAAUUGUUGUUUCUAAAGGGUUUUUGAAUAAUGGAGUAAGAACUUGUGACGUUUGUACAAAUGAAUCUUUUUCAUGAGAUUAAUAAUUUCUGGAGUAGAUAUGGUUUUCCAAAAAAGACAUUGAUAUUUUCUUCUUCUUUAGUCUCUAAAAUACAAAUAUAUGAAAAGGUUCUCUGUUUUAAAUUUUUGUCUCUUUGCUCUCCCCAUUGAUUGAUUGAUUGGUUGAUCCUUCACUCUCUCACUGUGUUAUUUUGUAGUGAAUCACAUCAGAAAGCCCAUCAUUGUUUGUUAGUUAAAAGAGUUGGAAUCUGUCCGUGAUUCACGAAAUCAAUCUUGUUCAGCCUGACACAACACAGUACUUGCUCUGGAAGUUCCUCUGGUGAUUGAGCCUGUGUCAGAAAGAACAAAAAGCUUACUUGAGAAACACUCCAAUAAAGUAAGACCUACCAAAACAAAGUGUUCUUGGGAGAAUUUUUCAAGUACCUGAAUAGUUAAACCCAAAUCAAGAAUCCCAUUCUUGAUCCUAUCCCUGAAAGAUUCGAGUCCUUUCCUCGAUAUGUAACUGAAUCUAUGUAUAUCCAAAUCGAUCUCAAAGUAGUUUGGUCCCUGUCCAAAUGAUCAACACACAAACACACACACGGGCACAUAGCAUUAACCACAAAGCUCUGUAAAUGAAAUCUAAGAUAAUAUCUAUGAAAACGAAAGAAAGAGCUGUUAUCUAACCCGAAAGAAAUCGUGUUGCGGACGAGAAAGAACCGGUUUAUCGUUGUAUGCUGUGAUAAGUUUUCUCUCAGUAGAACUUAGCUGAAGAUCCUCAGGAUUUACCAAACCGGCCAGGAUCUUUAACCUCUCUCUGAAUGGAACUGUUGAUUCUCUCGUGAAUCCUUUCACUUUCUCCAUUUCAUCUUCCAUGAAUCUCUACAAAAACCAAAUCUUUUAAAAUCUCUUUAUAGAAACGUCAUAGCCGUUGGAUAGGAUCCAUCAUCAUCAUCAUCAUACCUUUAUGGUUUCUUGAAAGUGAGAUGAGAUUUCUUUGUGAUAAUUCUCAUUCAAUUUGAAGUAUAAGACUAAGCUAAGUCCUUCACCAUCAUAGUCACCAAACAUAGAGGUUGCAUACAUUGGAAGCUGGAUGUUCACAAUCAAGAGAUUGGGGAUAUCACAGACUUGUGAUGAUGUCGGUUUCAAAUUAGGGAGCUCAAUGUGCUGAGCAAUGUGGUUGAUCUUCUUAGGACACGCGAAAAGAUCGAUUCCAAUUGGUAUGUAAGGACUACAGUUUGGUGCAGGACUCUUUUGCUUGUCUCUGCAGAUGAUUUACACAAUACGAUUAAGAGUGGAUACAAAAACUGUUUGUCUACUUUCUUGAUCUGAAAUUUGAAUCCUAACCUGAAGAAAUUCAAUCCACGGAGCUUGAAACUAGAGGGAGAAAGUUCUGACCAGCUUCCUUGACUACUUAGCUUCUCUCCCAAAGAACGUUGAAUCACAGAACCGGCUUUUGGACGGUACAAGAGCUUCUCACCUGAAGCUGAUACAAGAUCAUUAGAAGAAAGUUAAAAAGAUUUAAACUUAUAAAGACUUUGUUCCUUUUUCUUCUUACAGAAAUCAGAUGCUCUUGAUUUGCUAUCGAUAGAUGUUCUUCGCACAGAAACCAUAACAACUUUUGAUGACUUCUUCCUGUGAUCUUGAUGAUCUUCACAAGUGGUACUCUUGAAAGUUUCAUGGUGAGAUUCAUCAGCCACUUGGUUUCUCUUUAUGCUAACUUCAUUCUUGCUUGAGUAUGUCUCUGAUUUGUUUCCAUCUAUUUUCAGGUAACUCUCGUAGAACUCUUCAUACUGAAUCACUUGUCCCAUUGCAGAAGCAUUUGCAUCUGCACAAAAAACAAGAUCAUGUUUUCAGACAAUCACAAACCAAUAUGUCUCUAGAUUUAUCGAGCUGCUAAUUUUUUACCUUCAAAGACACUACUAUUUGAACCAUCAUCAGAAUCAGAAUCGAUGUAGCUAAAGGAAUCGUACCAAGCUUCCUCAUGUGAUAUUCCUGGAAAUAGAAAAAAAGACUAAUCAAGAUUCAAGAAAACACAUUUUUAGAAAGAAAAAAAAAACAGAAUCAAGAUUGUGAGAAUGUUGGUCUUACGGUUUCCAUCGAUUUGGCUGCAGUUCCAUUGAAGCUGAGUUACAUGGAAGUUAGCGUUAGACAUCUCAGCUCUCUUACACAUCAUCUUGGCAGCACAGUUGUCGAAAUCAAGAUGAACAUAUUCGCUCACUGCAAAAUCCCUAACACUCGCAUUACUCAUGCGUUUCAUAGGAACAUCGGGCAUCGAAGCAGAUAUUUUGGACCGACAUUUGCCAGAUCGGCCACGUCUAUGCUUCUUCUGUUGAAGCUUGUUGUUGAGCUUUCUCUGAGAAGAAACGCAGCCACCCAUUCUUUUUUUUGAAGACUACUACUUCAUUCACCAGCUAAGCUAUAUAAAAAAAAAAAAAAUUCUGUAAGGAAUCUGUUGAAAAACAUUCAAGAGACAUAUAUAAUAAGAGACUACAAGAAGACCAUUACCAAAUAUCUUGUCUGAAACGAAAAUCAAAUGCCAAAAAAGAUUUGAAUAUUGCACCUUUUUGAAAAAAAUCUUCCAGAGAGGUCACUCGUAAGAACUGAUCUUCUUCACAAAAGAGAAUGCAUCAACAACAUUCAUAACAAUGGGAUGUUGAUUCAUGUAUCUUCAAGACCUUCAUAGAGGAAACAAAAAAAAAAAAUAGAAUGAGGUUUUGUAUUUUCAGAUAUUUGUGGCCUAGUUGGUUUGAAAUACAUAUUAUUUUAAAAUAAGCAAAUCAUCGAUAACAUCAAACGCAACAAAUGCAGCCAUUUGAAACGUGAAAGAUAAGAAAGAAAAAUCUUGAAAACACAAUUAAGCAUUGUUUUUUUUUUAAAUUGGAGAUUAAUCCAAAACUCAAAUCAUUUGUUAACCAAAACAUAAAAUACUUCAGACCCAUUUUUUUUAUUAUCAAAUCAAGAAAACAAACCAGAAGAAGAAGAAGAACAGAGGAAGGGGGGGAAAGAACAGAGGAAGAAGAGGAUCCUUGGGGGGGAAAAAGAAUCCUCUGUUUUCGUCUAUCUUCUUCUCUGCCUCUCUCUCUCUCUCUCUCUCUUUUGUCUCUGUGUCUUUUUUUCGUGUCAAUAAAGAAGAAGAAAUAAAAGAGAGAUAAUUAAGACAAGAUUAAGAACCCGUAAACACUCUGUUUCUCUAAGUAACCCGUUUUCCUCGGAUCCUUCCCCUCUAAAGUCUUCUCUUCUUCCCCGUUUAAAUCUCUCUGUUUCUUUGUCUCUCUUCUCUCUCUCUCUGCUUUUAAAUAAAUAUGAAUGUAUAUAUUUUCUUCUCCAUCUUAAUGAUUAUUUUCAAAGUAAAUUUGGGAUUCUGAUUAAUCGGGUUUUAAUUACAUUACAGAACAUAUGAGUUUUUUAUAUAUAUAACAGCACGUGUCGCCAUUUAUGGUAAAGUCUUCUUAAUUUCUUAACCUCUCUUUAAGACCGUGUCUUCUUCCUCAUCGUUGUGUACACAAACCUUUUCACCCGAUCUUUAAGGAAGGAAUACAAUUUUGUCCACAACAUGUUACAUGUAUUCAAUAGUUCUAACAAAUUUUAUUCAGACUUAAGAAUUUUAAAAAGUUAACGUUAACCUGAACGUAAAUAUAUAUAUAGAUACUGAUGAUGAAAACAAUGUCUAAUUAAGAUCGUCGGGACACUGAAGUAACAUUUUCUUUAUAAACGAAAUUAGAGAAGAUUCGUAUGUGGAGUUCUCGAGGAUCACAUGCUUAAUGUAUACGGCAUGUCCUAAUAUGUGUUAGAAAAAUGUCCUAAAACGUCGUUUAUAAUCCAACCAGUACUGUAAUAUAUGUUUCUAGCUAUUGUUAUAUAUCACGCAAAAUUUUCAUCCCAGCAAAGUUAGCUAAGUUAAUGCAUGUUGCCCUAUGAAGGGUUUGUGGGAUUUUUCAUUUUUGUAUGGAACCAGAUCAUAUAGAAGUUAUUAACUAUUAGUUUCAUAAUACACACACAUAGGUACUCCGGGGAAAAGAAAAUGGUACACUUUCGUGGUUCGUUUACAAAAAAAUAGUGAUUUGAUGUGCAAUUACAAUGUUGUUGUCAUGAUGGAAAUAAAGUUAUGUCGUUGUACAAUACAGUUUGUCAUUUAUUUUCUUAAUCUAAUCAUUCGUAAUAGAUUAAUUGAACAUUUUACAUAAAGCCGUCUUAGGAAUACAAUAAACUAUACUAAAAACAAUAUUAAGAUACAAAAAAAAAGUUAAUAAAAAGCCAUUAGUUAGUUCAAAGUCCUUUUCUUAGGAGAGUAAAUUAGUCUACGGAGAUUCAUUCUCAUCAGUCAUCAUUGAUUAUUAUUAUUUUUCUUCCAGUUGAAGCUGUUCUAUGAAAGAGACGUAAUUACCUGAUUCUCUGUGUUUUGUGGAACAAAUGAAAUUUAUUUAACUAAAACACACAACUGUAUAAUUGCAACGAAAACUAUUUAAAACUUUUAGACUAAUUUCACUUUGAUUUAUAUAUGUGUUCUUUCUUUUGUUGCUAAUUGUUACAUUACAUCUAUUACAUGUCACUUCCGAUUAAACUAGAUGGUAACGAGCUAAUAUUAAUAUCUUAAAUUUUCAUUUGCAGAUACAGUAUGUAUUCUGUUGCAUCCAAUCCUAUUUAGACAAUAGUAUAAAUUCCUUUUUUAGUUAAAAAUGACGUAAUUGUAAAGAAAAAGACUCAACAAUUGGAUUCUUGUUUAUUUCAACUAUGCUAUUGACGACGGCUCGUAUUUUAUGAUCUUACUUUCUAUAACAAAAGCAAAGAAAAGAUUAUCAAAAAUAAGAUACCACCAGAAAAGAAAUAAAAAUCAUUUCCGAAAAAGCAAGAAUAAUUCAGCAAAUCCAAUUAGUCAUACUGAUAUACCAAACAUGUCCUGAAAAAAACUAGUUCAUGUAUUCAAACCUUUUAAUGAGAAUAAUAAUUAUUAUCAUUAUAGCAUGUAGAAAAAGAAUAAACAAGAAUUGUUUCUGGACAAAAGAUUUAUGUAGGCUUUUUUAUUUUAUUUUUUGGUAUUAUUCUGAUUCUUCCCCAAGUUUACCAUUGUUAAGUUUUAAAAAAAUCUCUUACAUCUAGUUGAUUAUAUAAAAACUAGUAAUAUUUUUUCCCCCCAUUAUAACUCUUCCGAUCAUAAAAAAAAAACUUAGGGAUAAUAAAUAUUAAUAAGAAGAAAACUUGUUAGAACCCAUUGAGGGAGGCUAUAUUUUUUUCUCACCCAAAAGAUACAAAAAUAGGUUGGUAAGAUAAUAACAUUUGGGUGCACUUUUUCCUAGCAAAUUAAACUAGGUCUAGUUUUAAUAAUGGCAAUACAUAAAGAGAUCAGAUUAAAUGCGACAUCCACUUUGUCCAACUUACCAUAGUAAUUGUCAGAUGUUUUAUAAUAACCACGAUUGGUUUUGUUAGGGUUGCUGAGACCUGAUCAUAUGAGUACAGUCUCUACAAGUAAGAACGUAACUACAAUUAUAAUUGAUUACAUAGACACACUGUACGUAUAUUAACACAUUAUACCAUACACCAAUAUAACUAAUUAAAGUCUAAUUGAAAUAAUUAUAAGCUAAUUGCUACUGGAAAAAUAAAAAUUGCGCUGAGGAAGGUCUUUGCCAAAAUAGUGCUACAUGUUAAUUAGAAGAAGAGAGGAAGAUGAUAUAUUUAACUGGUGAAGCAUUAAAUUCCAGUUAAGAGGUUUGGGCAGAUGUAAGUGUAGUAGUUGGUACUUGAGACUUGACUUACACACACCAAAUCAAAACGUAUAUACACUUACAUGAUGUCACACCAUAAUUUACUUAACACAAAUUUUUAUUGAAAACUCCAACCAUACCAACCUGAUUCGUACUAGCUUAAUUUUUCUUUGAUCUAUUAUUCCAAACCUUAAGUUCUAACUAAUAUUUGGUUAAUAUUCCAAAUCAUGAUCCAAAAUGUAUAUGUAUUUUUCGUUUCAAUCUCAAGUAUACACCACGCGGUUCAAUUUAUAUGGCAACACAUCAAUUUUAAUACUCUAGUAGAAAGGAACUAAACUACUACUAUAUAUAAUAAGUCUCAUUAGUUUGCUUUAUGUAUUCUCUUCAAGCUUUCUAAUGCUAAACUAGAAACUAUUUAUUCGAUUUUAUACAUAUUAUUUAUUCGAAACUUUAUAAUAUACAGAGACCGGUGCAGUUUAGUAGUUAGUGGAUACCAUACAUAUCAUGAUACAAGUUAAUACUAUAAUUAGGAAGUAGAUACGUUCCAAACACAAUACUCGAACGUGUGUAUACCUUAGGAAACAUUUGCCAACUGGCUACUCUGUUUUAUACCAAAAGUCUAGAUAUCUAUAAAUCUAGGGGUGGAUGUAAUGAUUAGUACCAUAUACUUAUAUAUGUUUGAUACUCAAAGUUUAUAUUCAGUUAUAUAUUAAUUACAUGGAUGUACGUAAUUAAUGUCAAUAGAAAACAAAGAUCUCUCGUAAGUUAAUAUCUAAUCAAUUUGAAAACAUUUUUAUUUUUACCCAAAAGUUAUGUCAUUUGUCAUCUAUUUAGUAAAAAUACCAGACGCUUUUCGUCCACAACCUAUAAACAGAGCUUAGCUAUUUAGAUAUUUUUAUAGUUAAUGAUGAUGACGAAUCAUAGAUUGCUAAACAUACUAUAUUAUAUAUGGUUAUAAAAUGAUUGUUCAUUUUUCUUUGACACUAAUUAAACAUGAAAGAGACAUGUCCUUCGAGUGCAAGAAUACCUAAAACAGACAAAGCAAUAAGUCUAUGACAUAUCUUAUUGUGUUAUACUAAUUCCUUACAUACGUUUAUGUUGGACAAGUUAGUACUACAUAUAUUAGGUUUACGUAUUUUUCCGUUAUAAAAACUCUUAAGAAAAGUAUUGUCUCCCACUAUCCCAUUAGGACAAACUGGCAAAAGGCAACCACCUCAACAACAUCAAAGAACAAAGAAUUAUUCAACUGUUCUCCACAAUUUAUAUCAUAUAUUUAAAACUAUAUAGUAGGAGUACUUUUCUAAACUAUAUAGUAGGAGUACUUUUCUAAAUUUAAAUUGAUUGAUUUUGUUUUUCCAUUUUCUGAAAAUGACAAAUGUGAUAUGAUUGGUGGGGGAAAAAACAAAACAAAUUUAUAUAGUGAGGUGAGUAAAACAAAGUCAUUGCUCUAAUUGCUCUAAGGUAUCAUAAAUUGGGCCCGUAUAAGCCUGUUACAGGCCCAUUUGUAGUAUACAUGGUCAUGAAGUAAAAAGCUUUAGAUAUUUUGGGGGUCUAGAGCAUCAAUAUCAUGAAUUACAGACCCUUCUACAGUAAAACCUCUAAAAAUUAAUAAUGUUGGGACCAUGAAAAUCUAUUAAUUUAUAGAGGUAUUAAUUUAUCGAUAAAUUAAUAAUUAUUAUAGAGAGAUUUUCCUACUUUGAAAGUUUUUUUCAGAAAAAUAUUGAAAAAUGAGAUUUAAUCAUGAUAAUUAGUAUUUUAUAUAAUCAAUUACAAAGAAAAUAAUAAUUAUUAUAUCUUGAAAGAGAAUGCCAACAAUUUUUGAUAUAAUAAAAUAUUAGAAAUAAACUCUAACAAAAACUAAUGUGUCUAUAUAUACAUAUAUUUUGAAAAUUUUACCUAAUUAUUAAUUUAUAAUAUUAUUGGGACCAUAUAGUUACAAAGGAUUUUUAAAAAAUUAUUAUCUUAUUAUUUUAUCGAAAUAUGUAUAAAAUUACACUAGUCCCAGCUUGGGACCGGAGAAAUUUAUUAAUUUAUAGAGAUUAUUAAUUUAUCGAGUAUUAAUUUAUAGAGGUUUUACUGUACAUAGAAAUAUGACUAUUUGGCCAGACAAGGGUGUUUUCGUAAAUUCUAUCACUUACUUCUUUUUUUCUUUUUUUUGCUUUCUUCGCCUUUUGCUCCCUCCCCGAGAUUUUCCGAUCGUGCUUUCCUCAAAAGCAUUUCUGUUUGUCGUCGUCGGAGCCCGACGACAGAUCUUUGAAUCGCUGGAGAUUUAGUAAGUAAAUCUACAGAUCUCGUUUCCUUGAACUUCUUCUUCGUUUACUAUUUGUUUCCAUCGUUCCUUCGUUGUGCAUUGAUGAUGUUUGUAAUGUUUUACUAGAAUCUAAGUCAGAAGUUAUCUCUCUCUCUCUGUUACUCAGUUUUUGAACUAGAUUUCCAUUCUUGCGUCGAACGAGUUUCUUCUUCUUGUUGAUUCGCAUUGCUGGUGUUUUUCCUAAAUUCUGAGAUUUAGCGAGACCUGUUUCGAGUUUUUGGUCAUCUGAAGAACCGAUAAUAGUUUCGGAAUUGGUUUCGUAAAACGGUCACUGGUCUGCUGAAUUGUAGUUAAGCUUAGUCCAUCGAAGUUAGUGACUCUUUGACUGUAUAAGUUGCUGAUGCUAUAGAUGGGAUUAGUGUUAUCAGGUUUAUUGAUAUAACAAAGAGGUUGCAAACUUUGUUAUAUAGGGAUUUGUAGGAAUUGGUUUUCCUGGGGGAUCAAAUUGUAAGAAUUUGUUGCUUAGCUACUCAUAAACUAAUCUGCAACAUAAGUUACUACUGUGGAAGAGGUUACUCUGAAAAUGUUACUAAAUUAUUAGUAUGGUUUAAGACCAUUUUAUAUUUCUUUGCUUGUGGUUUAUAUCUUUGAAUCAAAGCGGCUAUUUUCAGAGACACUGUUGUAGUAUUUGAUUAACAUACGAGGUUGUCUUUCCUAAUAGCUCUGUAAAAGAAUCUGUAAUCUGUUUAAAACAACACUGUUGAUCUAAUCUGUUUGUUUCUUUUUUCCAGUAAUGAUGGAGUUUGGCAUCUAUUUGUGAAGGGUAUAUGCUCUGGUUGUAUCCACCUUAUAUUCUGCCAGGAAGAUCGUGAGCACCGAAGUGCCUUGGGCUCUGGCUGCAGAUUAGAGCAGAUUAAAUGGGUCGCCUAAAGUUGCAUUCUGGAAUUAACUCCAUUGAGGAAGAGCCUGAGGACUUUGAGAGUACUGAUUCAAGCAAUACAACCACUUUAGCAUGCAUGAUUGAUACAGAAAUUGCUGCUGUUUUAGCGGUUAUGAGAAGAAAUGUAAGAUGGGGGGGUCGAUACAUGGCUGGCGAUGAUCAACUAGAACACUCGUUGAUUCAGUCACUGAAAGCUCUUAGAAAACAGGUGUUCUCAUGGAACCAGCCAUGGCAUACGAUUAGUCCCAUAUUGUAUCUUCAGCCCUUUCUUGAUGUGAUACGUUCGGAUGAAACUGGAGCACCGAUAACCAGCAUUGCUUUGUCAUCAGUUUACAAAAUCUUAAAUCUGAAUGUAAUUGAUCAACAUACUGCAAAUAUUGAAGACGCAAUGCACUUGGUAGUUGAUUCUGUGACAAGCUGCCGGUUUGAGGUGACUGAUCCUGCAUCAGAAGAGGUUGUGCUAAUGAAGAUACUGCAGGUUCUUCUGGCAUGCAUGAAAAAUAAAGCAUCAGUUAUGCUAAGCAAUCAGCAUGUAUGCACUGUCGUCAAUACUUGUUUUCGUGUUGUCCACCAAGCAGGAAUGAAAGGUGAGUUAUUGCAACGUGUAGCUCGCCACACUAUGCAUGAACUAGUAAGGUGUAUCUUCGCGCAUCUCCCAGAUGUUGACAGAACAGAAAAUACACUUGUCAACAGGGCUGGAAGCAUCAAACAAGAGGUAUGAUAUUGGGGUCCUUGUUAUCGCCUUACUGGUUUAGUAAAGUCAAUUUGGAGUAUAAGUUUUGCAAGAUAUCUUCUUUCAGAUAGAAAUAUAUAUUUUUCCAGGAAAAAGAAGACUACCAAUUCUGCAUCUAGUUAAUAAUUAAUUUGUUUCGGAAGAACUUCCCCAACAGAUGCUAGAUUUAAUGCAUUUUUCUUAUGUUUUCAUAUAUUCCAUUUAUUGUGCAAUGAUUAGUGAUGGUCUUUUGCAUGGCCGCAGAAAGCUGGAGUAGACAGUGAUUAUGCCAUUGUGAGUAAACCAGUCGAGGAUGGAAAUGGUAACUCCGAGUAUGACACUGAAAAUUCUGUGGCAACUUUUGCAUCUGGUGCUCAAACUUUGAUGGAUGAUGGACCAGUUGGGCCUGGAAGCAGAAAGCCGGCUUCUCCAUAUGAUUUGCAUAUAAUGACAGAGCCAUACGGAGUUCCAAGUAUGGUGGAAAUAUUUCACUUUUUAUGUUCUUUGUUAAAUGUGGUUGAACAUGUUGGGAUGGGCUCCCGAUCAAACACCAUAGCAUUUGACGAAGAUGUGCCUCUGUUUGCGUUGAAUUUGAUAAACUCAGCCAUUGAACUUGGUGGGUCGUCAAUCCGCCAUCACCCAAGAUUGUUAAGCCUAAUUCAAGAUGAGUUAUUUCGUAACUUGAUGCAAUUCGGCUUGUCGAUGAGCCCCCUUAUUCUUUCGAUGGUUUGCAGCAUUGUGCUCAAUUUGUAUCAACAUCUACGUACCGAACUCAAAUUGCAGCUUGAGGCAUUCUUUUCCUGUGUGAUUCUGAGGCUUGCUCAAGGAAAAUAUGGACCUUCUUAUCAGCAGCAAGAGGUUGCUAUGGAGGCUCUUGUGAACUUCUGUAGGCAGAAGAGUUUUAUGGUGGAGAUGUAUGCCAAUCUUGAUUGUGAUAUAACUUGCAGCAACGUGUUUGAGGAGCUGUCUAAUCUUCUAUCGAAGAGCACAUUUCCUGUGAACUGUCCUUUGUCCGCAAUGCACAUUCUUGCUCUGGAUGGUCUAAUCGCUGUUAUUCAGGGAAUGGCUGAGAGGAUAAGUAAUGGAUUAACUGGUUUGGACUUAGGUCCUGUCCAUCUUGAUGAGUAUACGCCUUUCUGGAUGGUUAAGUGUGACAAUUACAGUGAUCCAAAUCACUGGGUUUCAUUUGUACGCAGAAGAAAAUAUAUCAAGAGAAGGUUAAUGAUUGGAGCAGAUCACUUUAACAGGGAUCCAAAGAAGGGGUUAGAGUUUCUCCAAGGGACACAUCUUUUGCCUGACAAACUUGAUCCCCAAAGUGUAGCUUGUUUUUUCAGAUAUACUGCUGGGCUUGAUAAGAACCUUGUUGGGGAUUUUCUUGGAAACCAUGACGAGUUCUGUGUUCAGGUUCUCAAUGAGUUUGCUGGGACUUUCGAUUUCCAGUACAUGAAUUUGGAUACUGCACUCCGACUCUUCUUGGAAACUUUCAGGUUGCCUGGAGAAUCUCAGAAAAUACAGAGAGUGCUUGAGGCGUUCUCUGAAAGGUACUAUAUGCAGUCUCCUGAGAUUCUGGCAAACAAGGAUGCUGCUCUUGUGUUAUCAUACUCGAUUAUCAUGCUUAACACUGAUCAACACAACGUUCAAGUAAAGAAAAAGAUGACAGAAGAGGAUUUUAUUCGUAACAAUAGGCAUAUCAAUGGAGGAAAUGAUCUACCUAGAGAAUUUUUGUCUGAACUCUAUCACUCCAUCUGCAACAACGAGAUCAGGACUACUCCAGAACAAGGUGCAGGCUUUCCUGAAAUGACUCCCAGCCGUUGGAUUGAUUUGAUGCAUAAAUCUAAAAAAACUGCUCCGUAUAUUAUGGCUGAUUCAAGGGCUUACCUUGACCAUGAUAUGUUUGCUAUUAUGUCUGGUCCAACCAUUGCUGCUAUAUCAGUCGUUUUUGACCAUGCGGAACAUGAAGAUGUUUACCAGACAUGCAUUGAUGGAUUCCUGGCUAUUGCUAAAAUAUCUGCCUGUCAUCAUCUAGAAGAUGUCCUUGAUGAUCUGGUUGUGUCUCUCUGCAAAUUCACAACUCUGUUGAAUCCAUCAUCUGUUGAUGAACCUGUUCUUGCAUUUGGUGAUGACGCAAAAGCGAGGAUGGCUACUAUCACUAUUUUUACCAUUGCAAACAAAUAUGGAGAUUAUAUACGUACAGGUUGGAGGAACAUAUUGGACUGUAUCUUACGGUUACAUAAACUUGGACUUCUGCCAGCACGUGUAGCCAGUGAUGCAGCUGAUGAAUCUGAACUUUCAUCUGAGCAAGGACAAGGAAAGCCCCUCGCGAAUUCCCUAUCUUCAGCUCAUCUACAGUCAAUGGGAACUCCAAGGAGAUCUUCCGGAUUGAUGGGAAGGUUUAGUCAGCUUCUCUCACUUGAUACAGAAGAGCCCAGAUCACAGCCUACUGAGCAACAGCUUGCAGCUCAUCAAAGAACACUUCAAACAAUUCAGAAGUGUCAUAUUGACAGUAUAUUUACCGAAAGCAAGUUUCUACAAGCUGAAUCUUUGUUGCAGCUUGCACGUGCUCUCAUUUGGGCUGCAGGUAGACCACAAAAAGGAACCAGCUCUCCUGAGGAUGAGGAUACUGCAGUUUUCUGUCUGGAAUUGCUUAUUGCAAUCACUCUUAACAACAGAGACAGGAUUGUUCUCCUAUGGCAAGGCGUCUAUGAACAUAUAGCUACAAUUGCUCAGUCAACGUUGAUGCCCUGCAACUUAGUGGAUAAAGCUAUUUUUGGCCUACUUCGGAUCUGCCAGAGACUACUUCCUUAUAAAGAAAGCCUAGCUGAUGAGCUUUUGAGAUCCCUUCAGCUUGUGCUGAAACUGGAUGCACGUGUUGCCGAUGCCUAUUGUGAGCAGAUUGCAGUUGAAGUCAGCCGUCUUGUGAAAGCCAAUGCUAAUCACAUCAGGUCUCAGGCUGGAUGGAGAACAAUCACAUCCUUACUCUCCAUCACAGCUAAGCACCCAGAAGCUUCUGAAGCAGGAUUUGAUGCGGUAUCCUUUGUUAUGUCUGAAGGAACUCACCUGUAUCCAGCCAAUUAUGUACUCUGUGUUGAUGCUGCAAGACAGUUUGCUGAAUCACGCGUGGGACAAUCGGAACGAUCUAUCCGUGCCCUCGACCUAAUGGAAGAUUCAUUAAAAUAUUUGGCUAAAUGGGUUCGAACAGCUAAGGAAAACAUGGGAGAAGAAGAUUUCGGGAAGAUGUCACAAGAUAUUGGGGAAAUGUGGUUGUGGCUUGUUCAAGGUCUAAGAAAAGUGUGUUUAGUCCAGAGGGAGGAUGUCCGAAACCACGCGUUACAGUCAUUACAAAAGUGUUUAGGCGGAGUAGAUGGGAUCAACCUAGGUCACAGCAUGUGGUCUCAAUGCUUUGACAAAGUAAUCUUCACGCUUUUAGAUGACUUACUUGAGCUAGCUGCUGGGUCACAAAAAGACUAUAGAAACAUGGAAGGCACACUGCUUCUCGCGAUCAAACUCCUCUCCAAAGUGUUUCUUCAGCAACUCCAAGAGCUAUCUCAGUUAUCAACCUUCUGCAAGCUAUGGCUCGGUGUUCUAACCCGAAUGGAGAAGUACAUGAAAGUGAAAGUAAGGGGCAAAAAAAGCGACAAGCUUCAAGAAUCCGUGCCAGAGCUUCUAAAGAACAUAUUGCUAGUGAUGAAGACCAAAGGAGUGCUUUUGCAAAGAAGUGCUCUUGGUGGAGAUAGCUUAUGGGAACUAACAUGGCUUCAUGUGAACAACAUCGUUCCUUCUAUGCGACUCGAGCUAUUCCCUGAUCAAGAAUCAACACAGCUUGGUGAUGAUGAGACCGUAGCGAAUGGCUUAUCUUCUCCUGAAGCGGGAGCAAACACAGCUGGUUUGUGACCUUAUAAAAUGAGAUUAUUAUUAGGUGAGUUUCUUUUGAACAUCCAUAUGAUUGUAAAAGUGAAAGCUUCUUAUGUAACCUCUCUACGCUUUUUUUUUUUUUUGUAAUAUAUACAUGUGUCUAAUUCAGAGAUCAAGUAAGCCCCCUCCGUUAUGAUGUUUUUAUUUGUCGCUCUGUUGAAUAUGAAACCCUCGGAACGGGUCAGAAGGUUUUGAGUAACUGUGGUACCCACCAAAAGGGGAAAAUAUCAGCGGAUUCAGUAGCUGCUUCCACGAGUUUCUUUUUAACCCGAUGAGUCGUUUACGUUACGUCGAGAAUUUUCCCAUUGAUUUUCUCGAGAAAAUUAAAAAAAAACCUAAGCAAGAGGAUUGUUUGAUUAGCCAAGGGGAGGAGAAGAAAAUCUAAGAACUGUGAUUUAUAGGGAUAAGAGGAAGUUCUAAAAUGGAGUCGCUGAUAUCUGUGUCUCCGUCUAUAAUACUUCCUCCGACCACUACUACGAUCUCCGUUUCAACUUCACGAUCAGUCUCGAUUCGUCUUCGUUCCAACCGUUCUUCUUCCCUUUCAGGCUUUUCCAGCUCCGGUAAACGAGUUUCGAUACCGAGAAGAAGAAGAAGACUGUUCGUUAGCUGUAAAUCGACCAGCGGCGGCGGAGGAGGAUCAGAUAAGCUUGGUGGCGAUGAGGAAGAAGAGAGCAAGGAAGUUGAGCGGGCGCUUCACUUGGACGGUACGAUCCCUGGGACUUCCGAUGAGUUUGUAAGGCAAGUCUCGUCUCGUGCUUACGAAAUGCGUCGGAAAUUAGAGCAGACGUUUGAUUCCACCAGCUAUGACGGUAUAACCUCUCUCAAUCUCUGCGUUUUCUUCGAUGACAUUUGGUGAUGAUGAAUAAAUUUCCUUGACUGAUACUUCCGUUGAUGUGCUGCUUGUUUGAAAUUCAUGUUUAUGUUUAACGUUUUGUUGAACAAUGUUAGAAUUUAGUCACUGUGUCACAACUAAGAUAGAUGUAGUGAGAGCUAUUCAACUAAUUGUUCUCUGCAUACCAUUUCUUUUUCAUUUCCAUUCCUAGUUUCCAGUCUUAUAGUAAGAUUGCAAGCAAAUAACUUAUUAAACAACACGGUUUUUAUCAUCUCAUCAUCCACAGAAAUGCUGAUGGAUUGGAAUAUCAAAAACAUAGACUUCUAGGAUGAGAACAUAAGUGUGGUCUAAAGUUUAUGUUCAUCUCAAGUUUAUGUAUCGAUGUUGUUCCUCUAGUGCUCUGUGUAUAAGCUUUAAUGAUUUCGUUGACUAACCCUCUGUCACUAUGUCAUGACAACAAUCUCAGUGUUGGAGUCCAACCCAUGGAGAGGGGACUCGAAGCCUGUAUAUGUACUAACACAGAGAGAAAACCAGAUCUGCACCAUGAAAACAAGAACGAACCACAGGUUCCAACUCUCUUCCACUCUGUUUAUUAGUUUUGGUUUUCCUAUUGCUUGCAUAACAGUAGCAAUCGGUUUAUAACAGUGAAGUAGAAAAAGAGCUUGGACUCUUGUUUCCUAGUAGGAUCAGCAACCAGACAAAACAGUCUAGACCCAAAACUAAAUUCGAUAUGCUCGUAGAAGACAUUCGAGAUGGUGUACUGGUAAGUAUUUUCAAUGAAUCACUUCCAACACCCUAUGGAAACCAACAAAAUGUGACCAUUUUUAUCUCAAAGGUUUUCGAAGAUAUGAAUGAGGCUGUUAAAUACUGUGACCUAUUACAAGGUGGAGGAAAAGGGUGUGAAGGCGUCGCUGAGAUUGAGGCCUCAUCUGUAAGAUUAUGCAACAAAGAUAUCAUUUCAUUCUAUAAAUUUGUCGCCUUAAACAUUUGACAAGUGAUCAACUUUGUUCUUUUUUUUUUGUUUGAAUAGGUUUUUGACCUUUGCCGAAAAACAAGGUCACUGGCAGUGCUCUUCCGCCGAGGAAGAACACCACCCACGCCUCAGACGCUGGAGCGUAAUCUGGGAUCCCGUAAGCGUUCUCUUGAGGACUUAAAGGAUGGUAAAUAAUAGAUUGUGAAACAAUUUAGAUCACCACGUUACAAUAAUUUGAAAAUACUUGUAUAAAUUAAACUGUAAUUAACCGUGUGUAUAUAUAUAAAAGAUACGUUUCGCUUGUGCUCCAUAUACCUCUCUUGAAGUUGCGCUCUUUACUUGAAGGCUUUUAAAGCUAACACUAGUACUCUAGUAGUUGUAUCAGCAUAAAUCUGGUUUACAGUUCGGACUUUUUAUUAUUUUUUCCUUCAUGUAUUAGUUGCUCGAUCAAUAUUACUAGUUGGGCAAAUAUGUUGGUUGACAAGAAAGACCAAUGUAUACUGAAUUUUCUUGACAUGAGAAAUAGUGACUAAAAUUUGUUAACAAUUAAAAAGUUAAGAUAGAUGCCAAAGGCAUAUGCGUGUGUGUGUAUUUAUAGAAGUCAUGUGAUAGAUGUGAUUCCAUGUUAUCCGGAUCGUUGACUUAGUUCCCCAUUUCAUACAAUUGACCAUAACGGUUAUUAUAUGAUUCAUAAUAGAGUAUUUUUUUAAUGUAUCAACUUAGCACUUUGUUAUAAAAAAAAAGGAAAAUUUUAGCAACUUUCUUUACUUAUUUUUUCUUAGAUCCAAAAGGGUAAGAUCAAGGUGACCAUUAUUGUAAGAAUUUGUAUAAAUACUUCUUCUUUUGUUUGUAUUGUCCUUCAAAUUAACCAAAUUUAAACUAAUUAUAGUAUUAUUAAAUAAAAUUAAAAGACUUUCUAAGAACAAAAAACAGCAUGAUCCCUUUUAUUCCUUCCUUUCCUUAGUCGGUCACUAAUAUAAUAAAGAGUUAAAAGACCAAAAGAGAAAAGUCAGAGAUAACAGUGACGGAGUUAGAAACUCACAAAAAUAGACGGAGGAAAAAGUCAUCAACAACUUGACGGCUAAGUUAACGGCGAUGAUCUACGUUCACACAAGCAAGCAAGAGACAAAAGAAAACAAAAAUCAUCGCCUCUCUCUCUCUCUCUAUCUGGUUGUUUCACAGUGAAGAAUUGAUUCCUCAAUCACACGGUACCUUAAUCCAAUCAUCUAAAAAUAUCCUAGAGAUCAGAUCACUGUUUCUCGCAUCGACUCGAUCCUCUCAAUUAUCUAAAAUCGGGUUGAGAUGAGCUCCGAUUUACCGGCGGCUGGAGACGGUGGCGAACAAGCCGCUGCUGCGGGAACGAGCGUGCCUUCACCUUCUUACGACAAACAAAAGGAGAAGGCACGUGUGAGCAGAACAUCUCUGAUUCUGUGGCACGCUCACCAAAACGACGCAGCUGCUGUUCGGAAACUCUUGGAGGAAGAUCCGUCUUUGGUUCACGCUAGAGACUAUGACAAACGGACGCCUCUCCACGUAGCCUCCCUUCACGGAUGGGUUGAUGUUGUUAAAUGUCUGCUCGAGUUUGGUGCUGAUGUCAACGCCCAGGAUAGGUGGAAGAACACGGUAUAAGGCCCUUCUUCCUUUCUUUUUUUUCCAUUUCGAUUUUGGGUUCCUUGAAAUGUCUCAACUUUGCUAUGAUUCUGAAUCUGAACUUUUUGUUUGUUUAUUGGUUUGGUUUUUGGGUAUUUGAAGCCUCUGGCUGAUGCAGAAGGAGCUAGGAAGCAGAAAAUGAUGGAACUGCUGAAAUCUCAUGGCGGUUUAUCUUAUGUGAGUUUUUGAACAUCCUUGUGAUCUUGUAAAUGUAUAGCCUUAGAUUAGACAUUGUCCGUUUUGUUUCAUUCUUUAGGGUAGGUAGUGAUUGUUUUCAUAUUGAAUAUGAACGAGUUUUUUAAAAAAAAUUUAAAAUUGAGGAACUUUCAUCUUCUCUCUGAAGUAGCUGCUUACUGCAUUGUUUUUUUUUUUAUACUUGAUUUCGGAGAUUCUAAGAGACACUUUAGUGUUUCAGUUACUCGUCCCUCUUUGUGUGGGUAUCUUAGUCUCUGUAUCUGGCUGAGUGAAUUUUUGAUGCAGGGUCAAAAUGGAAGUCACUUUGAACCAAAGCCUGUGCCACCACCAAUUCCAAAGAAAUGUGACUGGGAAAUUGAGCCUGCUGAGCUGGAUUUCUCAAAUGCCGCAAUGAUUGGAAAGGUUGGUAUAUUAAGCAUUCUCUGUGUUUAGUUCAAUACGAUGGAGUUCGUGUAGUGAGAUUGGUCGCAUGUUCUGUUAGGGUUCCUUUGGUGAGAUUGUGAAAGCCUAUUGGAGAGGAACACCAGUAGCUGUGAAACGUAUUCUUCCAUCUCUUUCAGAUGAUAGACUGGUUAUGUAAGUUCUUAUUUCCGUCUCUUAUAUUUCAAUUGCUCUUUCCUAAGUUUCUUGUGCUUCAUAAGUUCCAUAUUUACUGUGAUGCAGUCAGGACUUCAGGCAUGAGGUUGAUUUGCUAGUUAAGCUUCGUCAUCCUAACAUAGUGCAAUUCUUAGGAGCUGUAACCGAAAGAAAGCCUCUUAUGUUAAUCACUGAAUACUUGCGUGGGGUAAGUUUUCGCUAUCAACUGUCUUUUAUUGCUGCAAAUUUUCAUCUUGGCUAACUAAAUGAUUCAUCUAAUUUUCACAGGGGGAUCUUCAUCAAUACCUUAAGGAAAAGGGUGGUCUUACUCCAGCAACUGCAGUCAACUUUGCGUUGGAUAUCGCGAGGUAUGUGAAGUUUUAACAUUCGAGAUAUCAUGUGAAAGUUUGUUCAUCAUAGUCGGCCUGAGUGUUUUCUAAAAUUUGUUGUUACAGAGGAAUGACAUAUCUUCACAAUGAACCAAAUGUUAUCAUUCACCGAGAUCUUAAACCAAGGUAAUCAAACUGAAUCAUAGCUCCUCAGUUUCUAACUUCAAAUUUGCUGUUUGUAAACUGCUUCUUGCAUUUUAUAUUUCAGGAACGUUCUUUUGGUUAAUUCCAGUGCAGACCACUUGAAAGUUGGAGACUUUGGGCUUAGUAAACUCAUAAAGGUUCAAAACUCUCAUGAUGUCUACAAAAUGACUGGUGAAACAGGCAGCUGUAAGUGUUGUUGUAUAGUAAAAGCAGAUGCCAUCUCCCUUUUUCGUUCUUUCAUCUCUCUAACUUCACCUCUUUUGUCUCUCUUCUUCGUUCAACAAAACCAGACCGGUAUAUGGCUCCUGAAGUAUUCAAGCAUAGAAGAUAUGACAAGAAAGUUGAUGUCUUCUCCUUUGCAAUGAUACUUUACGAGGUACUACGAUCUUUAACGAUAAAAAAACAUCUACAAUAUAUGUCUAUAAUAAACAGAACCAAAGCUCAGAGAAUUUUAACCUUAAUUUCGUUAUCACAUUGUUGUAUUCCAGAUGCUUGAAGGAGAGCCACCGUUUGCGAACCACGAGCCAUAUGAAGCUGCCAAACAUGUAUCAGAUGGACACAGACCUACAUUCCGUUCCAAAGGAUGCACACCGGAUUUAAGAGAGUAAGCACAACUCAAGGCCAUGUGAAUUAGUUUUAGUCUAUAUGAUAACGUAACUAACAAGUUCUCUUGCUUAUAAUAGGUUAAUUGUGAAAUGCUGGGAGGCGGACAUGAACCAGAGACCGUCGUUUCUGGACAUCCUGAAGAAACUUGAAAAGAUCAAGGAAACUCUACCAUCAGAUCACCAUUGGGGCUUAUUCACUUCAUAAUACACGAAGUCAUUAUUUAUAAACAAAAACAACCAGAAACAAGAAAGUGAUAUUCUGUUUGCUUAUUAUUCUCUGUUUCUUAUCUUUUGUAAAGAUUGUUUCUUUUUCAUAUUAUCAUUUGUUUUACAGUAAACGAAUUAAAGAGUGUGACAUAAAAGAUUUAAAUGUUCCAUGUAUUGGAUUGGCAGGUUAAUGAGAAUAUGAGAUGUUACGAUCAUAUCUGACAGGGUAAAAUGACAUGUAUCCGAAAAAUCCAGUAACAAAAUGAAGCUCGACAAAAAUGAAAUCAGUUGCGUAUAUAAAGCUAUAGUCUUAGGGUUUUCAGUACAAUCUCUGUCUUUUAGAUGAGCUUCUUUUUUUGGAAGAAAGUCCUCAAGUGCCAAAACUGAAGACCUGCGACCGAUAAACAAACUGCAAGCGACACCAAACUCAACCAUGCCAUCUUCGAGUGAGUCGAUAUGUUCAGAUUGUGCAUUUCUUCUUCCCUGCAACAUACCAAAUGAAGAUGGGUUUUGAGUCAUUCUCUUCCUCAGAUUAAGUGAUUUGAAGAGAAAACAUGUUUUUUCAUAGUUACCUGUCACGGAGAUAGAACAUCUCUUCGUGGAUGGAAUUCACCGUUUCAAACAACUUCUUAACCUCAAACUCCAUAGUCUGGCCAAUAACAUCAAGAUACGACCAUUGCAAGGUUAACAAAUCAUUCCUUUAAAACUGUGCAAUCUCUUUGAGAGGCUAUAUUUUACAUUUCAAGUUAGUCUUGCGCUGUCCUGUGUUAAAUCCUAGUUCUAUCUACUUUCAUCUUAAGAUAGUAUUGCUCUGUAGUAAUAUGUUAAAGCCUAGUCCAAACAACCUUCAUUUUGGGAAAGAACUCCUGAAUGAGAGCUGCCGAAAUUGAUUGUGUAACAAUAAGCAAUUAAUGUCCUCAUAUGUAAGACUGAAAACACACAACCCCUAUCAGUUGGGUUUGAACCCUAGGCAGUGUUGCAGAUUCAAAUUCAUGGCCUUGUUCAAAUCAAACCAAUCCAACAUAAUCUAGAAACCUAGACAACCGAGCAUUUCUCAAAUCACAUAUAACUUUUCAGUUUCCAGCAUUACGUCUUCGUCUAACUUAGCAAUCAAUUUCUCACACACCCGGACACAAUGCUCAACUCUUCAUAUAACAGUCGCAUCAAAAUCUAUUUUCCUCUGUGAGAUUAGUUUGACUAAGUUAAGACUUUAGAAGAAGCAAAAACUUACUUCAACUUGGCUCUUCUUGGCCACAGUGGACCAAUCCUUGGUAUGGAUACCCGUCCUCCAAUCAAAGUCAAUGGUAAGCGUCGUCUCCGGCUUGUGAUCGACGGCGGAGAAGCAAGAUAUAUAAUCCCCUGUAUCCACCGCUGUAAACGAGAACUGACCCGAUUCUACAUUGUCUGAUUCGUGGUAAGCCGUUCCUUGCGGCGACGUGACCUAAAAGUCAACACCAUUGCAUUAAACCGAAAUCAAAUAGAAGGAAUUGCGAUCAAUUUUUAAGAUCGAGAGAUUUGAAACAUGUAUUACUAAUUAUUACCCUGACGGUGAUUUUAUGAGAAGAAGGAAGAGGAUGAUGAUCGUCGUUAGGGUUUACGACGCUGUAUUUCCCGACGGUCAAUGCGUUGGCGUGAAUCUCCUCUGAGAUGCAUUUCGUGUGACCAGAAAUUAUCUCGUAUCGCAUAGAUAGCGUCACCGGGGAUAAAAUAGAAAGGAUCAACAGUGCUAUCGAGCUCCGACGAAGAUCCAUGGCUGCUCCGAUGUCGAGAGAGAGAGAAAUCGAUCUGACGGGUUUCAAAUGCUCCGCUGGUUAAAGGAAAAGGGAAGGAGACAAAGAAAGUCAAAACACAGACAUUGCCACGUGUAACCGUUUCAUUCGUUGAAACACGUGGUUUUAUCUUUUAAAACUGAUGCCUCUCAAAUGGGCUAUUAAAUUUAAGGCCCAAUGGAUUUUUCUUCUAAAUUAGUACCGCCCCAAAAUUAGAAGAUAAAUAAAUAAAUAACUCUUCCAGAUUCAUUUUACUUAAAUCAUUCGUCUCUGUAAUGUUAAUUUUAAACUUAAUUAGGAAAAUAAUUGUCUUUUUUUUUUCUUGUGUAAAGAAGAAAUAAUAACUUUCCUUGGAAGGAACGUUAAUAAUGCAAAGUAAAUGCAAUACUGAGUUGAGGUUAUAUUUGUCAGGGAUAUCGUUUUAGUUUUUUGUUUGUUUUAGAUAAUGUCCUACAACAUCAUUAAUUAAGCUUUAACAGUUAAAACACAAAACAUUGAAACGUGAUUAGUGCAAUAAAUAGAAGACAAGAUAAAUAAAGUAGUAGUCGGAGAACAAUUAGGUGAAAUCGUUGACGAAUGACAACGACAUACCAAAAAGGCAAAAUGUGUCAUCUUUCUUUCUUUCUCUUAUUAUAGUAAUGUAUGUGUUUCAGAGUUGAAUAUUCUUGGAAAUCUUUGUUCUUCGACAUUUUGAAAUCGGCUAUUAUUUUUUUUUUUUUUUUUUUAACACUUCAACUCUUUAUUAAUUAGAAACGGAGACAUCAUUGUUUAAACCAGAAGCUAUACAUCUGGGAAUAAGUUGAAAAAAAGAAAAGGACAAUGGGUUCAAACGUUGAGUAGAAGCUAAAAUAUCUACCGGGAUAUUGUUACUUCUUGGAGUCCAAGUAAACUCCACAGCUUCGAAUAGAGUAGCCAAACCUUUGAUCUCAUGAAUCCAAUUGAGAAGAUCAUAGCAAACAGCAGAACCAGUUAAGAGACGAACAAGAACUUGAUUAUCUCCUUCAAAAACUACUUUAUUAAAACCGCGCAACCAGGCAUGCUUCAUUGCACAAACCAAACCUUGACACUCAGCUGCAAUAAUAGAGGGAACCGGGAGACCUGUAGCUUGAGCAGCUUCAAUGAAAGAACCAGAAUCAUCUUAAACAACCAACCCAUAGAAGCUUGAAUACGAUUGUCAAUGAAACCACUAUCGUAAUUACACUUUACCCAGUUCAAAACUGGUUUACACCAACCACGAUUGGGAGGAUUAGUCAAAUAAACACCAGAACCAGAGAAGGCGUAUGAAUAAGAGAACUUUCAACAGAAAACCAUUCCUCUGCCUCUUGUCUAGCUUCACGGAUAUCACGUUGCCAAUUAGUAUGUUUCCUUUCAAAAACCAAACGAUUUCGGCUCUUCCAAAUUUUCCAGAGAAUCCAAAAAGGCAAAUGAGCAAGAAAAUCAUAAAUUCCUUUAUACUUAUGAAACUGCAGCAAAUCUCUCAACUUAGUUUCCAAAUUAUCUUGCGGAUUUGUAAGACUGGGAAUAGGGAGAUGAGAGGCUCUCCAAAUCUGCAAGGCAUGCGGACAGUUAAAGAAAAGAUGAACAGUAGUUUCACUAUCAGAAUCACACCUUUUACAGCGGGUUGCAGGAGCUAUAUGCCUUUUUUCAAGUUCUUCCCCCGUAGCUAAAGCACGAGAUAACAAACGCCACAAGAAAUGCUUAAUCUUAGGAGCAGUGUGAGUUUUCCAAAUAUCCCUUUUUAAAUUUGGAUCACCAUGAGGAGGUCUAUCUCUCCAGAUAGCAUCCGGAAGGUGAGAAGCCAGCCAAUACCCAGUCUUAACCGAAUAAAUCCCAUUGUCCGAAUAAUGCCAACCAAUAAAAUCAUUACUCUGAUAAGGGCUAAUUUUGAUAGAGAGGAUAGUAGGAAUAUCAUCAAGGUGAACCAGUUCUCUCAACAAUCUAAUAUUCCAACCUGACUUAUCUGGGAGAAAAAACUGAUUUAACGGAUGAUGGACCUCACUAUUAUUAUCAAGUCUCCUAGGAGGACGAGGAGGGUGGAUAGGCAGCCACGGAUCAAGCCAAGUUUGAAUCAAAUAACCAUCUCCAACAGUAAAACGCAAACCAGACUUUAAUAAUUGUUGACCAUGAAGGAUAGAUUGCCAAGCAAAAGAAGGUUGAAAGCCUCUAGAUGCAGUGAGAAUAUUAGAUUUAGCAAAGUAUCUUCCCCGGAAAGUACGAGCCAUAAGACAAUCGGGAAAUUGAAGAAUUCUCCAGACCUGUUUUGCAAGCAAAGCAUCGUUGAACUUUUCAAUGUCCCGAAAACCAAGACCUCCCUCAUUUUUGUAUACUUCAAUCGGUUCCAAGCCACCCAAUGAACUGAUUUCCGAUGAUCAUGAGAAUUCCACCAAUAAUCAGCCAUAAUACGUUCUAUGUCCUCACAAAUACUCUUUGGAAGCUUAAAACAGUUCAUAGUAUAAACAUGCAUCGCAAGAGCAAUAGACUUAAGCAGAAUCUCCUUACCACCAUGAGAAAGAAACUUAUUACUCCAGCCUUUAGUAGCUUGUCUCACUUUCUCAACAAUAAACUGGAAUAACUCCACCUUUUUUCUACCAAAUUGCUCAGGUAAACCAAGGUAUUUACUACAACCUCCAUCGUUAAAAAUUUGAAGACACCGACGCAUCAGAUUUCUAGUCGAAGUCGUGACUCUUUUACCAAAAGUAAUAGCAGACUUACUCUUGUUAACUCUCUGCCCAGAAGCUUGCUCAUACUGAUGCAAUAUGUCAGAAAUCACAGAAACUGAAUUCAUAUUAGCUUGACAAAAAAAGAGAGAAUCAUCUGCAAAAAGUAAGUGGCUAAUAGCAGGACUCCCAUUACUGAUCUUUAUUCCUUUUAGCGAACCAUUAGCUUCAGCUCUCUUCAACAUGUGACUUAAGACCUCAGCACAAAGAAUAAAUAGAUAGGGAGACAGCGGGUCACCUUGACGAAUACCUCUUUCUGGUUUAAUAAAACCCUUGGGAGCACCAUUUAUAUGGACUGAAUAAGAGGUAGUUCUGACACAAGUCAUGAUCCAUUCAACCCAUUUGGCAUCAAACCCAAAUUUACACAUAGUUUCUUGGAGAAAAUCCCAUUCAAGACGAUCAUAAGCUUUGAUAAUAUCAGUUUUUAUGGCCAUAAAAGAGUUAGAACAUCUCUUCUUGACUUUCAAAGCAUGGAUAAGCUCAUGAGCUAUAAGAACAUUAUCAGUGAUGACACGACCAGGAAUAAAAGCAGCCUGUUCCUCCGAGAUAAGACUAGCAAGGUGAGUUUUUAAACGCUCCACUAGAAUCUUAGAGAUGAUCUUGUAGCUUACAUUACAAAGAGCAAUGGGGCGAAAAUCACAUAACUGGCGAGCACCAUCAAUCUUGGGGAUCAAACAAAUAUUUGUAUGAUUCAUAGAAGUAUCAAAUCUACCUUCUUCAAAGAAACCUCUCACAGCCAACAUAAGAUCAGAUUUAAUAUCAUCCCAAUAGGUUUGAUAAAAAGCACCAGUGAAGCCAUCAGGACCAGGAGCCUUAGUAGCACCUAUAGAGAAAACAGCCCUUUUGAUCUCAUCCUCAGAAACCUUCCUAGUAAGGUCAGAAUUAAUAGCAGAAGUAACCCUCGGCUGAAAUUCAUUAAACACAUGAAAGUGGUUAUUCUGAGGAGAUAAAUCAGAUUUAAACAAAGUUGUGAAAAAAUCCUGAGCAACGUAACCCAUUUGAGUGUCUCCACGAUGCUCAAUACCCUCAUGAUCCAGAAUGGAAAACAACUUUUUACGACCAACUCUACUCUUAGCAGAUGUAUAGAAAAAUUUCGUGUUCCGAUCUCCUUUGGCCAUCCAAUCUUUCCGGCUUUUAAGUCUCCAAAACUCCUCUUCUUCAUCAUAAGCACGACGUAGAUUAUUACGUAAACUCUGAAUCUCAUGCGUAGAAGAACCAUUAGAACAGGCCGUGUUAAGACGAUUUUUGAGAAUAGCAAUGUCUUCCUUUGCAUUAAAUCUAUGAAAACGCUUCCAUUUAGAAAUUUCCUUGCGACAGGAAAUAAGCCGAGAAGAAAUAUUAAUCUGUCUAGUCCCUGACCCAUUCCAACCCCUUUGAACAGCAGCUUUAAACCCAUCUUUAUCAACCAAUCUUUUAUCAAAACAGAACUGACCUUGAUGGGGCACAAAAUCAUUAGUGAUGGUAGUAACAAGAGGACGAUGAUCAGAUUCAAGCAAUUCUAAAAAUUCAGCAUGAGAAGCCGGAUACUGCGCAAUCCACUCAUUAUUAACCAAUGUUCUGUCCAAACAGCAAGCCACAUCAUGAGAAUGUCUCUUUCCAACCCAACUAAACGGAUCACCAGUAUACUUGAGGUCAUGGAAAUCACAGGUAUGAAGCAUAUUUCUGAAAUCAAGGAAAGAAUUCUCAGAACGAGGGGGACCUCCUUUCUUUUCAGCAUUACUCUUAAUCUCAUUAAAAUCACCUAUGGCCAUCCAAGGACCAGUUCUGGAAGCAGCAAGUCUCUCAAGUCUUUCCCAAACCAGAUGGCGAAAGAUAGGAUUUGGGUUACCAUACACACAAGACAAGUAGAAACCAAAUCCAUUAAUUUCAACAUACGUAUCUACAAGGUUUGGAGAAAGAGAGAUGACUGAAACAGAAACACAACUACUCCACAUGAGAGCUAUACCACCACUUAGACCAGCAGGAGGGACAGUUACAACAUUAGAAAAACCAAGAUCACCACAAACAUCCCUAACUACAUCAUCCUGCUGCUUUGUUUCCAUAAGGCAAAUAAUGUCCGGAGAGAAUUUCUUCUUAAUCUCCUUCAAACGUCGAACUGCGAGGUCAUUGCCUACUCCUCUACAGUUCCAAGCAGUUGUCCUCAUGGAGGAAGAGGUGGUUGAUUAUACCAUGUUUUUCUAAUCAAUCAUUCUUUUUUCCAAACUCAUAUAUUAUUUUAUAUAACCAAAAAAAUUGGCAUUUAGUUAAGUUAAGGGAUUAAGAUUUUUGUUUUAAUUUUUUUAAUAAUGCAAAUAGAAUGAAAUUUUCUCGGGAAAAUAAUAAAUAGAAGAAGAAGAAGACACUUGACGGUUAUUAACUUAUUUCCCCAUCUCUUCACCGUUACCACUUACCACCUCUUUCUUUUUUCCCGUCUCGUGAUUUUGUUUUUCUUCUUAAUUUCGAAUUUACUCGGAAAAAAAAAAAAAAAAAAAAACUCUUCCUCGAGAUUCAAACCUUUGACAACACAAGGAGGAGAGAAGAAGAAGCAUUUCAUUUCAUUUCGCGUUUCUCAUCUAAUUUUUAAUUUCUGCAUUUUGACAAUCCCGGAAAAUUUUGUUAACAUCUUCACAAGAUCGGAGAAAAUUUUUUAGGUUUUAGAAUUUUUAUUUUUAUCUCAUGAAGCGGCGACGACGAUCGUCGGAGGAGGGAGAUGGAAGUUAGAUCGGAGAGUGUUACUUCUACUCAGGCGCGAAGCGAUAUUAAGCUUCCGCAUCCGUCGGCAGUUCUCAAGCCUCGUGUACAAGUAUGGUUCGUUAGAGUUUGCUCCAGCAUUUUGGUUUGGACCUGUUUGGUUCAGCUUUUCGCCGCCGGUGAGCUUUGGCAUUCCCGGAUCUUCACUGGUUUAACCAAUCAGAUUUUCAGAUUCUCUGCCCCUCUCGAGCCAGUUCCGUUGCCACCUCCUCUACCUCCUCCGAGUUAGUUUUCUCUCUUUUUCUUUUUGGGGCGUUACGGUUCUAUCUCGUCUUCGUUGGUGUGUAACGAGAUUAAUCGAUUUAUUUUUUUGUAGGAAAUUAUACAAGCAAUGGUAUUCUACUUGUAUCCUGUAAUGGUGGAUUGAAUCAAAUGCGAUCCGCGGUAGGUGGUCACUUUGCUUUAAUUGCUCCUUUUUCGACCUUUUAUUCAGAUUUGAAUGUUUCCAAAUUCUGAUUUAUGUUGUUUUCAGAUAUGUGAUAUGGUGACUGUUGCUCGGCUAUUAAACCUCACUCUCGUUGUUCCAGAGCUUGACAAAACAUCUUUCUGGUCUGAUCCUAGGUAUUGAAUCUUCAGAGGAUCUUUCACUUCUGAUAGGCCUAUCCUCUUCUUCUGUUUUUUGGUAGCUCUGUAGGAAUCUAAAGCAUAGUAAUUUUUCGUUUGCAGUGGUUUUGAGGAUAUUUUUGAUGUGAGACAUUUCAUUGAUUCAUUAAGAGAUGAAGUUCGUAUCUUAAGGAGGCUUCCAAAACGGUAUAGAAAGAAGUAUGGUUAUCAAAUGUUCGAAAUGCCUCCUGUAAGCUGGUCCGAUGAGAAAUACUACUUGAAGCAGGUUAGUGCUGUUCAUGUAUAGUUUGCUGUUUUGGUUCCUCUCACUAUAACUAUUACAAGUUCUUGUUGCGAGUGUUGUCCUAGCUGCUGAGUUCUUUCUUUAUUUGACGAUCUGCCUUUGUGAUUGGUUAAAUUCCUUGUUCAGGUAUUGCCCCUUUUCAGCAAACAUAAAGUCUUACACUUCAAUAGGACCGAUACCCGCCUGGCAAACAAUGGUCUUCCGCUCCCACUACAGUGGCUUAGGUGCCGGGUGAACUUCCAGGGACUAAAGUUCACUCCACAGCUUGAGGCUUUGGGAUCUAAGUUAGUUCGAAUUCUACAACAAAGAGGGCCAUUCGUGGCUUUGCAUCUGAGAUAUGAGAUGGACAUGUUAGCCUUCUCUGGUUGCACUCAUGGUUGCACUGAGGAAGAAGCAGAAGAAUUAAAAAAGAUGAGGUUGUUCUUUAGCAAAUCUGUCCUGAAUUGUUAUUCCAAUUUUAAAGAAAAAAAAAGAUGAUAAUUUGAUGUUAAUGCAUGGAUCCAUUUUGUGUUCUUUAGGUACACAUAUCCCUGGUGGAGAGAGAAGGAGAUAGUUUCUGAGGAGAGGAGAGCUCAAGGGCUUUGUCCUCUGACUCCAGAGGAGGUAGCAUUGGUUCUAAAAGCACUAGGAUUCGAGAAAAAUACACAGAUAUACAUUGCAGCUGGUGAGAUUUAUGGGAGCGAGCGUAGACUAUCCGUUCUAAGGGAAGCAUUCCCGAGAAUUGUGAGUCUACCAGUCCUGGUCUCCCUUUUCUUGCUACAACGAGUGAUAAAGGGAUCUUCAUUAUAUCAGUUUUGAAUACAUGUUAUAGGUAAAGAAGGAAAUGCUACUGGAGUCAGCGGAGCUCCAACAGUUUCAGAACCAUUCAUCUCAAAUGGCUGCUUUAGAUUUUAUGGUAUCUGUAGCCAGCAACACUUUUAUUCCUACCUAUGAUGGAAACAUGGCAAAAGUGGUGGAAGGUCAUCGGAGGUAACUUUUUUUGAUAUUGAAUGCAUUCCUCUCCAUGAAAACUGACAACUUACUGGAAAAUUAUUCCUGUGAUUCAAUGUAAAACACAAUUGGUCGAUUUGAAUUUGCAGAUACCUUGGAUAUAAGAAAACAGUCCUGCUUGACCGUAAGAAACUCGUGGAGCUACUAGACUUGCAUCAAAACAAGACCCUCACGUGGGAUCAAUUUGCAGUAGCCGUCAAGGUAGCCCAUGAGAAACGAACGGGAGCACCUACACACCGAAGAGUAAUCUCUGACAAACCUAAGGAGGAAGAUUACUUCUACGCAAACCCUCAAGAGUGUCUUUGUGAAGGUACAAAUUGCCACGACCUGUUUGGGCACAGAAAUUCCAAUUUAACACUUUAAAGUCAUGUUUUUAGCAUAUUAUCUCAUUGCUUCUGCAAGAGGACGGCAUGCCAAACACUGGAAUGGGAGCUGCAUAGUUCCUGCCCCGAGUUUUUCUCCAUUUUUGUUUGUAACGUUUUCAGCUUUCCUGCAUAGUUGCUGAUCUUGAUUUAAUUGUUUUACGUAAGUUAAGAUGUAACUAAAAGAAGAUUUUGUCUCAUCUUAUAGAAUAUCAAAAAAGUUGCUUUUGGCAAUAGCUUAAUAUACAGAUUGUGGUCUCUUAACUCUUUUAUCUCAAGGUUGAUUCAACUCUAUGCGGUCUGAGACCAAACCAGUAAGAUUUUCUUUCUGGUCCUGAGUUUGUUCUGCAGGAUAAGCUAUCCGAGCUAAAGCUAAUUCUCACUCCCAGAAGAUAAUAUCCCCUUGCUCGCCAACUAAACCAAGAUCUUUGAGCCUUCUCUCUUGGUAAUACUCUAAAACAUCGAGCUCAAGCUCUCUAUCCUUGAAGACUUGGUCGAUUUGCUGAAGCACCUUCUUCUCACCAAUCCUUAUCUUAAGAGCAAUGUCCAACCUAUGAUCAAGCUUUCCUUCUUCCAGAAGCUUCUCAUCCUACGAAAGACAAUGAAGACGAGUAAGAAAUAUGACUGUAAAGUCGCUGCAAAUACAGUACAAGAAAGAGCUUGGACAUAUAAGUGUACCUCUUCAAUGGUGGUACUAAAACCAGACAGAGCAGACUUGCAGGCAUCUCUGACAACACGGCAUAUUAGUUCCUCGUUUGAACGGCUUACAGGCAAUUCAAGAUGGCCCCAUAUGGUGUUAUUGAAGAUAGAUUCUAAUAAGAAAGCAUCUGAACCACCAAGAGCCACAAGGCGAAGGUACUGAAGCAUGCCAGCUGGAAGAGUCUGGCCGUCUACUAUGUCAAAGUAGCCAGUCUCGCCCAUCCCGUUAGUUUCAGCGAUAUCCAACUUAUCCCCAAAGAAUGGGUCUGACUCGGGUAUCUCUAUUGUUAAAGUAUAUGAGUUCCGGUUAGGGUUUGAUUCCACAAAACCAUAGUCCAGAGCAAGUUCUGCAUUGCUUUUGUUCAGAUCAUACUGAAUGUAUACCUGUGGAACAGAUCAUCCACACAGCAUUAAAGGGAUUGUUCUUAUACUUUUGAGGGGUUAAACUAAGGUAACAGACUAACAGUGAUUGAAGCUUACCUGCUGACCUGCUUUAACAUAAACAGGUGACUUCAAGGAAAAUAAGAGAUCUCUAGAGAAAAGGCCGGCUCCUUUGAUCUCGUAUGCAUAAUCUUCUGUCGUUAUCGCAGGGUUAUGGUUUAUCUGUCCAAAAUGAAACAUUGUAGUCAGAGAUUCUCUGCUGAGACAAGCAUCAAUGGAUGAAGAUUUGCAACUAAGACAUUAUCUGAAAUAAGAAGAUAGCUGUUGCUUCUUUGGAUAGUUAUUUACAGGAGCAUACCAAAUCAGCAAGUGGGAUCAAGACAAGGUUCUGGCCACGAAGGCGAGAAAAAGCCCUCGACUUGAGAAUCCCAAACGCCCAGAUGAAGUCAUCAAGUGUUAUGCUGGAUGAGAAGAGAUCUUUGUUGGGCAGUAAUAUCUCCUCUUGCAGUUUCAAGAAUUCAUUCUCCACGUACUCUUUGACACCCAAUGUGGUGCUCAACAGUUGAGUCCCUGAGCCACACAACAGAAACCACAAAGUUAAUAAUGUUUUGCUCAAUUGUCCCUUGAUUCAUCAUCAGCCUCUACUAGUCAUCUGUUUAUGGAAAGAAGAAAUGAAAAGGUAAAAGGAUUGACCUUUGAGCUCCGCAAGCUCCUCUUCUGACCUGUACUGGAGCAUUUCAUGAAGAAAACAUAUCAUUAGCUACAAUGCUGAGUGUUGACCAGAGAAACUAAACUUUGAACAAAGAGAAGCUCUACAGUUGCUAUUGAUCAGAGAAGGAGAAAACCCACCAGAAGACAGUAGAAUCAGUAGAUUGAGGAAGCAUAUCAAGAUAAACUCUCCAUGAAGAGUCUUGUGCAUACUUCUCUCUGAUCAAAAACAGAGCAACUGAAACCCACGGCUUCAAUCCGCCGCACAAAGGUCCGAUCUUGGAAGCCGUCACUGUCUCUGGAUUUAUCCACAAUCGCUUGGGAAUUUCCAGUACGACCUCGUUUCUCCCGAUAUCACGCCUGGCUACAAGUCCCAGACCUUCCGGUACCACCGCAGGCUCUGCCGGAGAUUUUCCGGAGACGACUCCUUGGUCUCCCAGCCAUUUCCAGAAGUUACGAACAUUAUCCGGCAAUUCUGAGCUAGAAGCGGAUAUGGGUCUAACCAAAGAUCUCUUGGGUCGAGAAAAGAGAAAGGAAGGGUUUUGAGACUUUUGAGUUGACGGGGAACGGAGAAAUCCUGUCACGAUGGUGACGGAGGCGGCGGAGGCUGACAUGGUGGUUUUCCGUUGGCGGGUAGUAUCACUAGUGAUACAGAGUGUCAGAGUGUGGAUAAAUAUAUCACAGACAUAAGUUUUUUUCUUCUAAGUUGAGAAAGAACAGAGAAAAAAAACUAAUUUUUCUAGUGAAAGAAUCUGAAUGUAAAAGGCCCAUUAUUAUAAAAGGCCAAGGCCUAUAUGUAGCUUUUAUGAAAUUAAAUUAUCUUUGUGUAUUCAAAUUUUUAAUAAAAAAUAGGAAUUUGGAAGGAAACAAAAGAAUAUGCAAAACAUUGUAAAAUGAUCGGCUAAUAUUUCCAACCCUUAAAUCUACUGACAUGACAUUUCAAGACUGUUUGUUUAUAAAACCCCUUAUCCAAGAAAGUGCAACAUGUUUCAAAAGAAGAGAUAUUGGAGACCGACCCAUCAACGUGUCUUCCACUCGUCAUCAUCGAAUCGACAUCGUAACUCAAGACUUCAUUAAUGUUCUUUUGUCUCGCAAUCUUAACAUCAAGUGGCUCUAACUCAAAUGUUUUGAGGCGUCUUAGUGGUUCAGAUCUAAUUGUCCGCUAAUAUACUUAACAUAGUCGUCAUUGAAGAUUCAAAUAUACAAUGUCUUAAUCAUCCUACAAUUCUCCAUGCAAGUCCUCGUACUCACUACUGUCCAUCAAAUAGAAAAUGAGUAUUUUACCAUGAAAUUUAAGGAAUGUAGUAAUUACAUGUAAUGAGUUCAGUUUAUAUCAUAAAAAAAACAAAUGUUAUGACUUAAGUGUAAUUUAAUUGUCUAUUUAAAUUAUUUAUUUUUAAUCGUUAGUUUAAGUGGUUUGAAUAUAAUUUAGUUAUGUACCGAAUUUUUCUACUCAUGGAAUAGUCAAAAAAAAAUUUUUUUGUCAAAAGUGAAUAGUCAAAUAUACAAGGCUCCAUCAAAUCGACGAAUAUUUGUAAUUUGUAAUUAACCGAAUACACUACUGAUCAUACACACUAUCGAUUAAUAUUCUUCUAAGAGUUGUGUUUUAUGAAAAUAAAUAUACGGUAGCUUAAUAGCUACAAUAUCAAUGUACGUAUACUAAAUUGUUUGAACAACAAGCAUUUUCAAUUGAUUUUAAAAAUUAAUAUAAAUCAGUAACUCAUGACUUCAAAUGAGGUUUAUAGUGUAAUAUCUUGUAUAAAUAAUAGUUUUACUAUUGGACAUAUAAUCUAAAUAAUAUAAUGAUAAGCAACAAAGACUUUGAAAGAGUAAACGUUGACGAAACAUAUAAAGAAAGAGUAGUAAACGCUUUGGAGACCCGAUCCAACUAUAUACAAAGCGGAACUUUCCAUUCUCUUGUGUCGGCUUGACCCACAUGAUACGAGAACGAGACCAACACCAGUUACUGUAGUUAGUUUGGGAAUGCAAUGUACUUACUUAAUGUGAUAUCCUAUCAGAAACCUGCUUAUUCAUCAAAACUCUCCUAUGCUUAUUUUGAUUUUGGAAAAUGUAAUUUUUGGUUGGAACUGCAAAAGUCAUGAUUCCUUUUUGUUCCCCGACGACAUAUGACCACUAUUUUGGUGUGUUUUGCCAAUCAUUACCUUUGCAAAGAACUCUCGGUCCAUCAAAUUAAGGCACGAUUUACUUUUUACUCUUGAGAUUUUAUAGACCACUUGGGGAGACUUUGAUUUUGAAUUUGAUGACUCUAUUAGUUUAUGUUUUAUAUGUUAACGAAAAUUUUGAUGUGACUGUUUUAAUCUAGUUGUUUAAUACGCAAUUAGAAUUAUUCGGUUGAAGUGUUCUUUCUUCUUUUUGUCAAAAUAUACUAAUCUUGGUCUUAACAAAAAUAUCAGAUGUGAAAAACACAGAUUCUUAAUAAACCCCGCUAAUUGUGCCGAGACUCGUGUUGUGGUAAUAAACCUGGAAAAAACGAUCACUCAACGCAAUAUAAUAGUUUUAAAUAGGAAAAGACUGAGAAACUUAACUACUUGUCACGACAUAGACCACAAAUGACGUGAUGGUCGGAUCGAGAUACAGACCACGGAUUUGUUCACAAAAUAUCUUUAAUAGUUUUUACUGAAAAAAUAUAAAAACAAAAUAUCUCAUAUUAUAAACACUGCAGAACAUUUAUUAAACUCAACUAAAUAUAUAUUUAUGUACUUAUUAUAUUCUACACUUGACCUAGGUGCUUGCUAGUAUAAUAAAUAAUUUAAAGUGUUUUGAGAAGGUCAAAACGGAUGGCUGGUUUUAUUUUAUCUAGAAACCGUAUUAGCCUAACAUUAAAGAGAUUCAUAUACCUUAUCAACUACUGAUUCUUGUCUUCAUUACUCUUUUACUAUAAAACAAAAUGUUGCUAGAUCCGGGAAAGAGUAUCCUAUGAGAUUAUCUAAGUAUCAUGUAUAUGAGAUGUAAAAUCACUAAUUAGAUGAAUGAAAUUAAAACCAUAUCCUUAUAAUAGGAUAUAUAACACAUAAUGAUGAUGACUUGAUGAUAGCUCAAUGUGAAACUUCUAAAAAUCGACCCCAACAGCUAAGUUGAUGAGAUAUAAAUAACUCGAAAACGACUGGUACUAUUGAUUGUAUGCAUACAUAUACCCAAUUUUGUCACAUUUAUUAAUUAUUAUACCACACAAGGUAUCUUGUAUUGUUUGAUAUAAGGUGAUGCAUUUUUUUCUUGUCGGUUCAAGUAUCAUAUUCAUUCAUUUAUUGAAACCAUAAUAAUUCAACUUUCCAAAACAUAAUUAUUUUGUUUGGUUUUCUAAACAAAACAGGCUAUUUGACCGAAUGAUUGAUUAUACAGUAAUCCGCUUUUUAAGUUCUCUUCUUAAUAACUUGUCAUGACGAUUCUUGUUCAUAAUUUUUUCACGCACGGAUACGUAACUUACGUUUGAUUAGUGCCAUGCAAACUUAAUUUACGUUCAUAAAGAUAAUAAAACAGAAUUACAAAAACGAAUACUUUAAAUCAUACUGCAUACAUAAAGUAAAGCACAAAAUAUUUUUAUCUUUUGCAGUGAUAAUAUUACCAUAUCGACCUUUAGCCGCCCAUUUGGGUCUGACACCGCGACUUGAUAUGGUCGUCCACUAUGACGACGAUUAUCAAAUUUCUCAAGGAUUGACACUGAUUGAUGGAUUAAUUAAUUAUUAAUCCUUUAAGUCAAUAUAAGACUAAUCUUCAUGAAUCUUUAGGACUAAUUUUAACUCCUAUUUGUUUAACAUAAUUCACCUAGAUUUCUUCAACCGGUUGAUCAACGCGGCUUUUUUUUUUCUUCUUCUUCUUAUAUAUCUCUUGCAAGAAUUAGUAAAAUAAAAUGUCCAUAUCUCACCCUAAAAGCCGAAGUAUAAUGUUUGAUCACACUACUGUGUCGUUAAAGUAAAAUAUGGAAAGCUAUUUAUUUGACUAGAAACAUAUAAUUAUUUAUAGCUAAAAAGAGCAAAUACAAAUAUCAAAAAAAGGGGUUUCAAAUUUCUAUAUUUUGAAAAUAUUAGUUAGCAGUACCUACGCGCUUUUUAGUUGCCCUCUCUGAAUACACGUUGAAAAAAAUUCAAUAAAGGUGAUAAAAAAAGCUAUAAAGUUUUUUACUUUGAUUAGAAACAAUUAUUCAAAUCCUAAAAGUUUAUAAUAUCGUCAAAAACAAUCAUAAACGACUUGUCUCUCUUUUGUAUAUAUAGAUAGAUAGGACUCUUCUUCUUUAAGACACACAAGAGUUUAAUAUUUUUUUCUUUCUUUCUAAAACACAUAAACAAGUGAGAUUCAAUCAAGAAAAGAUAGAUUCGAUUCAAGAAUCUAUAAAAAAAAUAUGAAGUUCGGGAAAGAGUUCUCGUCUCAGAUGGUUCCAGAGUGGCAACAAGCUUACAUGGACUACGACUUUCUCAAGAAACGUCUCAAAGAAAUCAUCAGAUUCCAACGCAGAACCAACAAUGCACAUCCUCACGGCGGCGGUGCCAAGAACGCCGGAGGAUUAAACCGGAAAAUGACUCUGUACCGUGCGUUCAGCGGUUUGGUCUCGACGCCGGGAAGACACAAACGCGGGCAUAACCCUCAUGAUAUCGAAGAAGGCGUACAGUUGACGGCAACAGCAACGGCGACGACCCCGGUGCCGAUCCUUGUAAACACAAACUCGAGCCACGGGUGCGAGACGACGUUUCUGAUGGCGGCGGAGGAAGGAGGAGAGUACGAGCUGGUGUUUUUCAGGAGACUGGACGAUGAGUUCAACAAGGUUGAUAAGUUUUACAAAAAGAAAGUUGAAGAAGUGUUGAACGAAGCUGCCAUGCUUAACAAACAGAUGGACGCUUUGAUCGCCUUUCGUGUUAAAGUUGAGAAUCCUGAUGGGUGGCGCUGGGAGGAACGGACGGUGGAGAUUACUCGAUUGGCUUCCGAUAUCGCUACUUCUGCGGCGGCUCUCUCUGCUUCCACUCCCGCCCGAGCUAGAUCAAGUAAGCCAUCGUAUAAUUUAUUACAUAUCUACUCUUCUCACCUAACUCAUAUCCGACUUUUUCGAUAGAAAAUAUCACCAAUUUAUAUUCUUUUAUGUCUAGAUUGAUUACAUUUGAUAGUGCCAACCAAAAAAAUAUACUUAAGGCGGAUACAAAAUCCAGAUUAGAGUUACUUUUUUUUGGUAUUUUAUAUGUUAGUGUUAAAUAUCGUCACUAACAAGUGAACUGUGGUCUGUGACUUUCAAUUAAAAAAAAAAAUUCCAAUUUGAAAUUGAGUAUUCCAUAUAUGUUUGGAUUUAGUGAAAUUCUCAUGAUUGUUUAGUCCAAUGUAACAAGUUUUAGUGGUUAGUAUUAUUAGUUCCACUUGGGUUAAUUUACAUUAACAAAAUUAUUUAAUGUAAUGGAUAAGAUAUGUAUAACACACAUUAACAACUCCCACCACGUAUUAUUUCGUUUUUCAAAAGAUAAUUUAAAGAUUAUGUUUUUGAACAUAACGUUUUGCUUUCAUGCAACUUGUAUAUCAAUUAUUUUACACGGCGCUGUACCAAAACCGGGUUAGAAUUGGUUGAAUUUAAUUCCCGGUCUACGUAAAUGGUAUUCCAGCAUAAUUUACCAAACCGAUAAUUUCAAAAUUGUAGUUAAAGUUCGAAGUCAAGAGCACAUGGAAGCUAUACAAGAAGGAGGGUCGAGCAGAGCUGGGCUAAUGGGAGUUGAUGAAGACGAAGAAGAAGAAGAAGAAAAAGGAACCUCGGUGGUUUCUUCCGGAGCAGUCAAUGACGUGACGACGAGCAGAUUGAGAGCAGCGAGACCAGCUCCUAUCGAUGUCCUCGAUCGAGUCACGAUCAACAACACCAAAGAGACGCCUCGUUCCACCAUUAAAGGAGUUCUCAACGUACCGAAUCAGACUGAGUUAAAAUUCAACAGAGAGAAUCUUAAGAAAGUCGAAGAGAGUCUCAAGCGUGCUUUCAUCGAGUUUUAUCACAAGCUUCGCCUUCUCAAGAACUAUGCGUAAGUUUUGGUUUCUCUAAAGUUUGGAUUUUUAUUUUUUUGAUGAUUGAUGGGUUUUGAUUAUGAAUAUUCGUUAAUGUUAAUGCAGCUUUUUGAAUGUAUUGGCGUUUUCGAAGAUAUUGAAGAAGUAUGAUAAGGUAAGAUUUUGAGUUUUUACUUUUAUUUUGGAGGGUUUUAUAUGUUUCAGAAUGACUGUAAUGUGUUCGACGAAAUGUUUUUUUUUUUUUUACAGAUAACGUCGAGAAAUGCAACGAGAACUUACAUGAAAGUGGUUGAUAGUUCGACCUUGGGAAACUCUGAUGAGGUAAGAUACUCUGUUUUUUUUUUUUGUGAUUUUUCUUAUUUGGAUAAGUAACUUCUUCAAUUCCUCUGUUUCUUAUUCUUAUAUCGAUGCUCUGUUAUGGACAGGUUAUGAGACUCAUGGAGCGAGUUGAAGCAACAUUCAUUAAGCAUUUUGCUAACGCUAAUCGAACAAAAGCAAUGAACAUUUUGCGACCUAAAGCAAAACGAGAGAGACAUAGAACUACAUUUUCUACUGGUAAGCAAACACUGUAACUUGCAUAAAAUAGUAGUAUUGUUUUUUUCAAAUAUGUGGCGCUUAUGAGGAUAUUGGUUUCAGGUUUCACGGCUGGAUGCGUUUUCUCUCUUAUUGUGGCUCUUGUUGCCAUCAUCCGCACCCGACAUCUCUUGGAAAAGGAAGGCCAAAAGGAAUACAUGAAUACUAUGUUCCCUCUUUAUAGGUAAGAGCUUAGUAACCUGGUCAUCUUAAGAGUUUAUAUCAAGCAUUUGAGUUGGAAUGUAUUCUUCUUUUUUUUUGGUUUAAGAGUUGGAGUGUGAUGUUUAGAAUCUUGUCUUUGUUGCUGUUUCUUGCAGCUUAUUCGGGUUUAUCGUGCUGCAUGUCAUCAUGUAUGCUGGUAAUGUAUACUACUGGAGGCGAUACCGAGUUAACUAUUCCUUCAUAUUUGGGUUCAAGCAAGGAACUGAACUUGGAUACAGACAAGUCCUACUUGUGGGUUUCAGCAUUGGAGUCUUUGCAUUGCUCUGUGUUCUUGCCAAUCUUGACAUGGAGGCAGACCCCAAAACGAAAGCCUAUCAAGCCAAAACUGAACUUCUUCCUCUUGUCCUACUUGGUGUAAGUCCCAAAACCCUCAAAUCCGAGUUUUUCAAACUUCUUUACUAAAAAACAGUGACAUAAUAACUCAGUGAUGUUUACUUUUGCAGGCUAUGUUCAUGGUUUUAGUCCUGCCAUUCAACUUCUUUUAUCGCUCGAGUCGGUAUUUCUUCCUCACUUGUCUGUUUCAUUGCCUUGCCGCUCCUCUUUACAAGGUAAAUCAGAGAUGGAAUAUGCUUAUUGACCAAAGAGAAUGCUGUUAAUUUUCUAUUCCACUAGGUAUUGACGGUCCAAUUUUUUCCUUUUCCCUUGCAGGUUACAUUGCCUGAUUUCUUCUUGGGAGAUCAAUUAACUAGCCAGGUUCAAGCGCUUCGAAGCAUUCAGUUCUAUAUAUGUUAUUAUGGCUCGGGAGACUACAGAAAGAGAGAAAACACUUGCAAAGAUUCUGAUGUCUACAGCACUUUCUUGUUCAUUGUUGCUGUCAUCCCUUAUGCCGCUCGCCUCCUUCAGGUACACAUAGUCACUUCCCUCAAAAAUAAGAAUCCCAAAUCUAGCAGUCUAUAACAAAACCUUGUUACUCAUACAGUGCCUGCGACGGCUAUUUGAGGAAAAAAACCCGGAACAAGGGUACAACGGAAUCAAGUAUUUCUUGACUAUAGUGGCAGUUUGCUUGAGAACAGCUUACAGCAUCCAAAAAGGUCAAGUUGCUUGGAGGGUUUUAGCCGCUGUCUUCUCAUUUAUAGCUGCAGUAUACUGCACUUGGUGGGACUUUGUUCAUGAUUGGGGUCUUUUAAACCGGACAUCCAAAAACCGUUGGCUUCGAGAUAAACUCCUCAUUCCUCAGAAGAAAGUAUAUUUCAUUGCCAUGGUGAGUAUCAAAAACACUUUUUAUUAAGUCAAAGAUGUUUUAUAGCAACUGAUCUAAGAACAUGUACCAGGUUGUGAAUGUCCUUCUGAGAUUUGCGUGGAUCCAGACGGUUCUGGAUUUCCACUUUUCCUUCAUGCAUAGACAGACGAUGGUUACCAUUGUCGCUAGUCUUGAGAUCAUUCGUCGUGGUAUUUGGAACUUCUUCAGGUGAAAAAAACUUCAAAACUCACAUUACACUGACACCACAAAAUGUGUUGCAUUAAUAUUCCAAUUAGUAACUCUCUGUUUUUUUGUUUGGGUUGUGGAAAACAGAUUAGAGAACGAGCAUUUGAACAAUGUUGGGAAAUACCGAGCCUUCAAGUCGGUUCCAUUACCAUUCAACUACGAUGAAGAUGACGAUAAAGACGAUUAGUAGUUUCAGAAGACCCGUGAAUACAAUACUCUUUAGCUACGCAGAGACCAUCAAAUUGCUGACACGGUCUCUCUUCUUUUUUUGUUCUGUCAGAUGAGAAUUGUAGGGAUGCAUCAGUUGCAUAUCACAUAUAUAACACAUAAGGUUCGAUCUUUAGUGGGUAAUUCGUGUAAAAAACAUAUUCUUCAGAUUGUUCGUUCAUUUCGGUUUAUAUGAUUCUUUCUAUUCAACUUUGCUCUUCGUACCUAAUUUGUGAACUGUAUCUGAUAUUAGUUUGCAAAAUCAAUCACACGUUGAGCCAAAAUAGUUGAAAGAAUGUGUUGAACAAGACGGGCCACACCAAUUAUAUUCUUUUUCAGACAAUAACAAUAGAAAGGAAGAAAAAACAUCCAGAAUAUUAUCCAGAAUGUGUUGCUUUGAGAUUUGGGAUUGGAACUCUCCAAGUAACAGAGGAAGACGAUGGAUUAGGGUUCAAAUAAUUUUCUGAUGGUACUAUUAAUUAAGAACCGUACAUGUGAAAUCUGCUACAAAAUAUUCCUUUUGUAAUUCUACCUCUCAUUAUUUUAUGAACGUACGAUUACGGUUGCAUGGCAAAUUACGAAUAGGAAAUAAAUACAAUAUCGAGAAGAGAAUUACGAAUAGGAAGGAAUCAAGCAAAUACAAGAUUAAGAAGAGUAUUAACAACCGGAUAGUAUCAUUUGGUCAGUCGGUCAAAUAUAUAGCCUGUUUUUUUUUUUUUAAAUCCAAACAACAAAAUUAUAACUAAACCGGGUAGUAUCAUUUGGGAUUUGCAACAAUUUUCAUCUUUUCAAGUCAAGUAGAGGCCUAGAGGGGUUUCACUGAGGAGGGAGACUUUAGCCCCAACAAAACCAAGACUAGCAUAUAUUUUUUUUUACCUUCUUCACAAUUGUGAAACAAAACUAGCGCUAGUGUAUCUUAAGCACGAAUUGAAACAACAAAAUAAUCACAUUCAAAUAAAGAAAUAGCUAGGGAAACCACAAGAAGAGGCCAACAAAGUAAUAUUAUUAAGAGCAAAUUAUCUCUAGAAUCAUAUGGAAAAAUAAGAUUAGUAAUUCAGAUGGAAACCAUAUCCAAUUUUUGCUCCAAAAGAAAAAAAAAAACACUCAGCUUGCUUCCGAGAGAAAGACUUGAAGCUCAUUCUCCAUGUGUUCUUCAGCAGUUUUCUUGGCCUCGAGAAUGGGACGAUAGUAAUCGGAGUGAGCGUCCAUACACUUGGUCAUCCUAGAAAAAACUCCAGC
rnacentral:lncRNA from 1 species